rnacentral:lncRNA from 1 species
UUUUUUUUUGGUGCUGAAAAACUAGCUUAGAUUAUUUUUUUUCAGCACAGAUAAUGAUUAUGUGGUCCAAUUAUUUGAACCUGAUUUCAGACAGGGAGAGCAACAGUCCCUAUCAUGCAUCUCCCAAAUUUAUAUAUGAGCCUCCACUGCAAUUUCUGUACGUACGACAUGGAGUUAUUAACGCCCAUAAUUGUGUUUUAUCAUUGGUGCAUUAUUUCUGGUCCAUCUAUCUACGUACAGUUUGUAUGUAUGCGCACUUAUGAACUCGAGAAACCAAGACUAGCCAUAGGGCUGACCUUGAAACAUGCACCGUACGUACCCAUCAGCUAGCGGCCAGUCGUAUAACUAACAGCACAAAAAAUAUUGAGUAGGUUGAUCAGCAACACGUAUGUAUCAAAUGAAUAUUCCAUCUGAACUUUCGUUGAAGACCCCGAUUUUUAAUUAAGAGAUCUUAUUUUUUCUUAGGUUUGACCUCCGCGUAGACCAUAUAAUUAACCUAAUCAUCCGGGGGUCGUGUGUGUAUAUCUAAUCUGCCUUCGUAGAUAUGCUGCAUCCAUCACAGAUUCACAGUAGGCAGUGUAGCGUAUACUAGUAUCUUGGGCCACAUGCAUGGCUGACACCAAGAAACAUCCUCCACAUGGCCCGGUUCCAUUGGUUACACACACACAUGCUUGCACUGCAGAAGUGCAGAGAGGUUAGGUCUAGGGAUUAGUAUAAAUAAUCAAGCUUAUUCGGUAUACUAAUGAUUUGAACACUGUACUCCGGAUUCCGUACAGUUUCCACGAAGGUUGAUCUACUUUUCAUGCCCUUUUCCCAUGAAAUGAGUUAGAUGUGCGAGAAAUGGGUUAAUUUGUUUUCUUGCCCCAGAGUUGACAGAGACAGUUCUUGGACCAUUAGCUAGAAAAUGAACAGCCUAAACUCGCGAAAAUUCAGAGUAUUACUCUAAGGAGUUCUAGAGAGAAUAAUGGGGUACCUGCUAUACAUGCUACUAGCUUGUUGAAAUUCAAAUUGACCAUUGAAUUUCAACAGACGAGCGUACAGACAAUAUUGAUUUUGAUGUAAGCAACUCGUGCAUGUGCGUAUGCGUUCCAUGCUACCUGCAUGCACUCGAUCCUUGACUGCUCAUAUAAGCAAAUUAGUUGGUUGGCUCGCACUAGUUUAAUCUCGGUGAAUUACCAUUAAACUUAGAGUGAAUUUCGCUUACAUUUCUUCUAAACAUACAUCAUCUUAUUUCUUCUUUUUUUUGAGAGAGGCUUAUGUGCAUCAUUCUUCGCAGUAAAUGUUCAGAGCUUUCUACAUUGAAUUCUCCAUGCAUUUGCAUACUCGUCAUUCGUCAAUAUUCUUUCAACUGACAUAUCUGAAGAGUAGACAGAUCGACCGAAAAAAAUGCUAGAGCAUGCAUAUCCAUGCAUGCACAAUAAUAUUUUAUCUAGCUUAUAUUAGCUUGUGAUUUUUCAACUUGGAACAUUGAACAAUGACAUGCAUGGAUUCGGUAGAAAACUUUGAACGAAGUCUUACGGACCAUACUGGACCCUUGGACCGUAGAAUGAAAGGGAACACGAAAGACAGACAUGCAUUGCAUGCUAGGACGUGGAUCAAGUAAAAGUACUUGCAGCUGACUAAUACUAGCUACAUGUGUGUGUACGCUGUGCUCGUAUUUUCUCUGAGAUUUCCUGGCAGUUUUGCUUUUGUCUGAAGAUGUGGUGAUCUCAUCACUCAGUUCUGCAGAAGCUGCAUUCUACAUGCUUGAUUGGUCUUCAUAACAGAAUAAUAAGCUGGUUACGUACCAUUUUGGCAAUAAACUAUACGCAUGACCGAAACAGCUCGCUUUCUCUCUAGCUACGCCGCGCCGCACAAGGUUUCAGAGAGUUUGAGGCGGUCAGCUGGUCAAGUGUCUGUGGUUGCCUGGUUGGUACCUGGUAGCCUAUACUAUAUAGCUUGACCAACAUUCAAUUCAGCAGUCUCCAGCUGUGGCAAUGUCCAUCGGCCGACCGAUAGAGUGGUUUCUGGCUUUCUGCAGCACCACGAACAUUAUUGUUUUGGUACCUGCAAUGCGAGACACUUGUACAUACAGUUCCAUAUUUGGGCCCUGUGCUCCAUGAUUGUUGAUUGCGAAUGCCAUGUGGUGUUGACUUGGUGUAUGCAGACGACUCUGGAGACAGGUCAGAGCAGGCCAUGUUAUGCUCAUCAGUUGGUCAUAAUAUUUGGUACUAUUUCAUUUGGCAUGACUUGCAACUUCGUACUUAGUACCAUCAUGGUAGCUCUGAUUAAGAAAAAGAGGAAAAGGGAAUUGAGAUGGCUCAUAAGAGUUCUUUAGUCUUCUAGCUAGAGGAGGAAGAAAGAUACUGUUGGGCUAGCUGAAAGCGGAGAAUACCUAACCGAGGCCCAUAACCUUGCCCGAUUUAGGCCCAUGCACCCUGUGCCGAAGUAUCAGGAGCUCAGUACAAUUAUGUUGAGAAGCGUACAUGUACUGUGUAUGUACACUUACUCCGUGACGAGAUCAAGUAAGAAAAAUGGACAGACAACUCCAUGUCCUUGCAGCUGCAGCUGAGCUGCGAAACUUCCCUCGUUCAGAGAUCGAUCAUGCGGCCGGUGACGACCAUUCCACAUUCUAUCUCCGUUCCUUGAAUUGCUUUCUUUUCGCCAAAGACAAGACAUGAAAAUAGUCGAUCGAUUUGCAUUGGUGUCAACUCAAAGAUCAAAAAAAUCUUGUCCCUCUGAUGGUGUUUUAUAGCCGCAUCCGUGCUUCGAGGCACGCGCACGGCAAUUGCUCGGCGGCGACCGGCCGGCCGGCCGGCGGUGGGUGUCGGAUCGGUGCCCGGCGCGAGUUGUCUGAGAUACACGGGCCUUCCCGUUUCAGCCCCGCAUGCGUGCCAGCGGAUCCACCUGGCUAGAUCUUGGCUGGCGGCGGCGGUGGCCCAGGCCCGACGCGGCGGUGGUCCGGCGGUACGUCGCCGAAGAUUUUGGCCCCGCCGGGCGGUGGACAUGUUGCAUGAUGGCACGCGCGUCAACAACACGGUAGUACACCGCUGAGUCCACGGAUUGACCGGCUUUGAUUUGUUUGGGUGCGACGAGGACCGACUGAUGCGUCGAUCUGUCCUUGGUUGCUGACGUCACUUGCCAGGGCGGUUCGCCGGUUCAGAAGAUUUCUAGGAUCCUCGGCCAUGUGAUCGGCGCGGCCUACUCCGCCGUGUUGCUUCCUUGCGCUUUGCGGCGCGGUUCCAAUCUCUUGCAGUCUUUCGACCUGGACCUGAUGACUGGGUGUGCUACGGGCUUUGCUCUCUGGGCUCCCGUGCGACCGAGCCCGGCCUCCGCCGGCCUGUGGGACCGCGCGCGCUCCCCGAAGCCCAGCGGUCUGCGGCCCGACAGGCAAGGACGCAGAGGGCCCAGCGACGCCCGGGCCAUUCGGCCGGCGGCGGCUCAUGGGCCCAAAAGAACUUGCUCCCUUACGCGGCUCAUGGACCCAGUUGAGCCGGAACCAAAACCACGAUGGACAGCCAAACUUUGCUUGCAGGGAGGGGGAGAUUGGCAGACCAGGAAACCUAUCUAUCUUUUGCAACUUACUUUUUAAUGUUUGACAUUCGUGCAAGUCAUCUCUGUCGUUCGAUUCGCUAGCGCCCGGCGCUUCGGCUUCUGCCUUCCAGUCUUUUUAUUUUUUUUCUCCGUUCUGUCCCGUUAUACUCUUCUUCUCCAUCCAUUUUUCUUUUCGUUUUCUUCCCCAGCUCUCUUAGUGUUCGUUCCGUGGCGUUUUUCAGAGGAGUGCUAAGGUUUCGAUGAACCGAUGAUUUAGGUUCCCCAGAUUUUUGUAGUUCUCUUCUGCGUUUUCUCCGUCGUUUGUGGCGGCGUAACCUAGGUUUGGGCGCAGCUGAUUUCCCUGCGCAAGUUCGAGGUCGAUAGAGUUGUUUUGCUAGUGCUAGCACUUGUUCUUGUGUUCUGAUCUUUUGUUUGUUGUUUCCUGUAGAUUCUUUGGUGCUUCGUUUUGGCUCAUUUCGCUAGUUAUGGCCCCAAAGUGGCGAGGAGGUCGACUGGGUUCUACAUCAGUUCGAUUGGAUGGCUGUUCUCCCAUCUUAGAAGAUUCUGUUGGUACUUCUGUGAGAGUAACAAGGUCUCUCAGUUCUCGUCGUCCUAGCCAAUCGUGAGUUGCUGCAGCAACUUCAAUUGAUGAGGUUUGACUGUGCUACAUUUUGUCCUAAUUGAUGUGAGAUUAAGCGACUAUUUUAUUUGUUUGGUCGAUUCAUAUUUUGGUCAUCAGCAAUUGUACUGUAACCCAAUAGUUUAUUUUCAAUAUUAUCCGUUAAACAUAAUCUGUUCAACACUUCACUUAUAUAAUUUAUUUUCAACAUUAGACAACAAUUUUUAACUUCUGUGCAACAUUUGUCAGUAAGGUCUUAUGUGAUUGUUGCUAUAUUCCCAUUUCAACGUUGCCAUAUUUUUAUUUAUUAGCCACUUCAUUGUUAGCUGUUAAGUUUUCUUUUCAUAAUUUUUGUUUUUCUCCAUUUGGUUCCAGUCUGAUGAUUAUGGUGAUUGUAAGCAUAUCAAGAUGUAGUGGUCUACUGCUCGUGUUUCAAAAUUUGUCAAGACUCUUAAUUGAAAACAAAAGGAUUUCUUAGUGAAGAAUGGGUUUGGAUUUGUUCUUGACAUCAAAAGUUUUAGGUUCCUGUUGGUUUCAUUGAGUGGGUAAUGUCUAAUACUCAUGUUACUUCCCAUGAGUUCAUUUUCGACCAGAAGUGUAUUCGUUUCACUAGAGAUAUGGUUAUCAAAGUGUUAGGGGUGCCUUCUGGAACAACUCCAGUUGAAGUUGAUAGCUCGGAUUUUGAGGUUGAAGCUCUUGUUGAGCAGUACAAGUCUGAAUACAAAGCUGGUAAAUCAUAUCCCAUUAAUAAGUGCAUGAAUUUGAUGCUUAAUGAAGAAGAUGAACAACUUUUAUGAGGCACUUUAUGCUAUUCCUGAUUUCAACUAUUUUUAUGUCUGGCAAGUCAAAUACUUUAUGUGUUGUCUCUAUUCUUUGAUGAGUCUGGAGAGUUUAAGCAAGUGUGACUGGGCUGAAGAGAUUUUGCAUGUAAUUAUGCAUGGAGUUCGUCGCUUUCAUACUUUGAGGGAUUGCCUAGGCUGUGCAGUUGCUACGAAAACAUUUCUACAUGAAGGGAUGUCUACCUUUUCUAGCUGUAAGUUUUUUCGUUUAUAUUCUUUCUAUUUUACCUACUUUUUUUGGUUUCCUAUUUUUUUUAGAUUGUGUAUGCAGAUUUCUUGGAUUUGCCUCAAGGUAGUGCUCAUGUUCAUGAGCUCAACUACAGUGUUCCAAGAAUUUGUCAUCUGUCGUCUUCUGAUUUUGACUUUGUUAUGGAAAUAGACAGAAACAAUCGUGCUCGGCCUCAUUGCUAUGGAAUACGCCCUGUUAGUUCUAAUCUUAUUAAUAUUCAAAUUUCUAUAUCUCUUUUGCUGUUUAAUGUUUCUAAUUCUUUAUUGUUACUUUUUUAGUUCCAAGAUAUAUCUGCAACUCCAUACUGCACGAUUGAACCAGUUGUGCAAGCAAAUUCUAGAAUUGUAAGUACUUUUUUCUAGUUCCCAUUAAAUAGUAAUGGACAUUGUGAAUAAUUCUUUGGAUUUUGUAUUGCUAAGGCUGUGAACAUUUCUUCUAUUUCAGCAUCUUCUUUUGUUCUCCAGAAACUAACAGGAGAUGUUUCUUCUUUUGAACUUCUCAUAAUUUUGUAUUCAUAUCUAUUUUGUUUGUUGUUUUGCUAGUUUCUUCAUGCUGAUGUUCAGCGAUUAGCUGAUAAGCACAAGCUAUCAGUGAAAAAUGAUAUUGGAAUUCUGGUUAAAAUAUUGACUGAAAUAAGUGACAAUCGUAUUACAAGUUGUGCGGUUGAUUUCAACAGUGUAUACAUGUCAAAAAUUGCUGAAUCUGAACAUCUUCAAGCUUCUGCUGCCAAUGCCCAAGCAACCCAUGUUUCUGAUGCUUCACAUGUUCUUCCAUUUCAAAUGCAAAUGUUAAUUCUGGCAAUUCUGCUGGUUAUGAUAUUUCUGGUGCGUCUAUGUCUCGUUCUGGCAAUUUUCGUGAUCGUAGCUAUGAUCAACCUAUUAACGAUUCAUCUCUGCCAUCAGACGGUCCAUGUCUUCAUCCUCAAGGUACUGGACCAACCCAUUAUUUUCCUAUUAGAUCUUCUGCUUUUAUUAUUCUUGCUACAAUGUUUCUAAUGUUUCAGAUAUUCCUUGUAUAUCAAUUUCAAAUGUUGCAAUGUGAUGGUUUUAGUGGUUUGGGUAUGCUUGAUGGCUCUAUCAAUGCAAAUACAAAUGAAGCCUUUUCUCAUCCACCUGUUAGUUCUGGUGUUCAAACUGUACCUGUGCCCUCUAUUGAUGAAUUCAAUGUAUCUGAAGGUACUUUACACACAGAUUUUUUUUGCUUAUGAAACAAAUGAAAUUACUGGAGCUUCUUCGGAUGCAUUUGACAAAUUUUUAAUUGAUUCCAGUGAGCACUCCUUUAAUUAUUUGAACUUUUUAUUGAUGUUUUUGUUUAUGAAAUUUUUCUUAAAUCUUUUGAAAAAUCUUCUUGCCACAGGUGGAGUUAUCCGAGCUGUUUCCUUUGCAUCUCCUGUUUGCACUAAGUUCAAUGAAAAAUCUGAUGACCUUGUUCAUUCACAUCAACCUGUUAGUUCUAAUGUUAUAUGUUAUUGUUGAAUCCAUAAAUUGUGACGGUGAAUCACUUCAAGAGAAAAAUGAUAUUAUGCAAAAUAUUGUUGCUGCUACUAUUGAAGAAGCUGGUAAGUACUACUUUAUUGUCAUAUCUUUUUUUACUGUUAUAGCAUUAGUAUUGAAAGUGUUCCUUUUUUAUUCUAUAGGUUCUAAGUCUAUGGUUCAAGUAGCAAACUCUUUGCUUGAUGGUUUACAAAUUGAUACAACAACUCCGCUUGAAGUUAGGCAGCCUCUAUUUGAUUCCAACUGUGGUGACAAUGAAUCUGGUAUUGCCAUUGCAUUGUUCCUAAUGUUUCAGAUAUUCCUUUUACAUCACUUUCAAAUGUUGCAAGUAGCAUUUACUGUUAUAGCAUUAGUAUUGAAAUUGUUCCUUUUUUAUUCUAUAGGUUCUAAGUCUAUGGUUCAAGUAGCCAACUCUUUGCUUGAUGGUUUACAAAUUGAUACAAUAACUCCACUUGAAGUUAGGCAGCCUCUAUUUGAUUCCAACUGUGGUGACAUUGAAUCUGGUAUUGCCAUUGCAAUGGGUUAUGCAUCCCCCAGUGCUUCCAUAGUUGAUAGUAAGUUUUUUCUUUUCCCUACUUGUUUCUGCUUGUUUUCUAUAUUUUUAUGUCUUUUUAAAUUUUACCUUCAUUUACAUUGACAAUUUUUUUAAGCUCUUCCUCAUGAUAGAAGUCUUGGUCCUAGUACUAUUGAUUAUAAAAUCGCAAGAAAAGAAAAGCAGCAGAUCUGUAUGAUGAUGAGAUUGCACCACUCAUGGUUAAAGUGGAUGAUUCUGUUCAAGAUUUUUAUGAUAAGUUUGUCUGCAAGAAUGGUGUUAGGUAUUCAAGAGUCAAUAAAAAGUUAGUUUCCAUCUCUAACUUCUUCUUUUCUAGGUAUAUUUUUAUUUUAACUGUCUAUUUCCUUUACUAACCUAUCUUUGUAUAAAUUGUAGCUCUCCUUUUGUGAUUGUUGGUGACCUCCAUGUUACCUACAAAGAAUUUCAAGAAUCUAUGAAGAAAUAUUGUGAUAUAUCAGAGACAUUGAUGGCAGUUUACUGUGAAGUGUUCAAUGGAAGACCUGAGAAAUAUUUAUUUGACAAGGACAAUCGGAAGAAAAUUUCUUUCUCUCCCUUUUUCACGGUAUGUUGUUCCUUCUGUGCAUUAGUUUCAUUCUUUUUAUGCUUUAUUAGUUCUUGAUAUUUAUCAUUUCUUCUUUUCUGCAGAAAAAAUUGUUUGUGACUCCUCUAUUCAAAUCUUCUGAAUGCAUUGAUGAAUUGAAGCAAUUGAAUAAUGUGCUAAAUAUAAAAAGUGCUGAUCUGGUAAAUAUAUUUUCUUUUUUUUCUUUCUGCUAUUUUCUUUUCUUUAAUUUUACAUUAUAACAAUGUCUAAACUUGAUUUAGGUAUUUUUCCCUGUCAUAAUCCAGCGUCAUUGGGUUCUUAUGUGUCUGAAUGUUCUUCAUUCAAAUUUGAAUUUAUUUGACUCUCUGAAUUUAACAUCUCAUGAAGAUAGUGAGCGGAUGCUUAAAAAUCAUGUAAGACUAUAUUAUUCUUCUCAUUCUCUAUCAUGUCCAUUAUCAUUUCUUUGUUGUUUUAUUACUCUGUUUUUUUUUUACUUUUCAGUCAGCUAAUUUCUCCACUGCUUGUAUUGAUGCCAAUUUGUUUCCUCCUUGGUUUUCUCAAUUUCCUUUCAAGGGUCCUUCUAAAUAUCCUCAGGAACAUAUCAUGUAUGUACCAUGACUUGUUGUUUAGUUCAAUUUUCAGUUAAUUUGUAACAUACAGUUGCUCCAAUAAUUUAAAAGUUUGUAUAUUAACUUAUUAUUUGUUAAAAUACUGAAAUGAAACUAGCAGAGGUCUUAGUGUUGAUUGUGGAUUCUACUCCAUUGCUUAUAUGGAUGCAUGGGAUGGUUUACAUAUGAAAGACUUUGAUCAGGUUUGCAUACUCUGUGCUCAAUAUUUUUUUAUGUACAUCACGCUGAUGAAUAUAUAUUUGUGUGUUCUUAUUACCAUUGCAUACUUUUCUUUUCCAGAAAACUGUGAUUGAAUACAAAAAGAUUGUUGCCUACAAGAUUUACCACUCCAAACUCAACAGAAUAUGUCCUGACAAUGAUACUGUUCGAGUUUCUCCAAAGCGACAAAAGAAGAACUGAUAGUGCUGAAGAUGUUCUGUAAUUUUAGGGCCACAUGAUGAUCUAUGUAAAUAUAUCUCUAUAUGUAGUUAUGGCUAGAUGGACAAGUUGUUAUGCACUCUUAUGGCUAGAUGGUGAAGUUGGACAAGUUGUUAUGCACCCUUAUGGCUAGAUUGUGUAGUUUUUAUGCACUCUUAUGGCUAGAUUGUGAACUACGUUUUCACCCAUAUUUUGACUCGUUGUAGUGGCAUAUGUUGCGAAAUUUUACUGAACUUGAAUGAAAUGGUCUUGUUUCUUGUUAAUUUCUGGAUUUUGCCAUCCUCAUUUAACCUGAUUUGAUCAUAUCAGUCAAAGAAAGCUGACCGCUUGCUAUAUUUAUUUCAAAUUUUGUCUCCAUUGCUUUCAACUUUAUUAUAUGACAAUUUCAACAUUCACUCAAUAAUUGUUCAACAAUUAUGAACAUAAAAAUCAACAAUAAAAUAACAUUUCUGAAUUUUGUCAUCCUUAGUUUAACCUGAUUUAAUCAUACUGGUCAAAUAUAGCUGACUACUUCCUAUAUUUAUUUCAACAUUUCUCUCCAUUGGUUUCAACUUUAUUAUAUAACAAUUUCAACAAUCACUCAAUCAUUGUUCAACACUAAAAUAACAUUCUAAUUGAGUUAGCAAUUUUUUCGCUGAAUUUCAACUUUUCACUUUGCUUAGUUCAACAUAUCUAGUAGUUUGGAUCAACACUUAAAUAUUAUCAAAUUCAACAAUAUCAUUCAUCUAGUUUCAACUAAUCAGCAAUAUUUCUUUUGAACAUACCAUUUUAAACUUAUUUUUCAAUAUUUCUGUGAUGUUGUUACAACUUUUUUUAAAUAAAACUAUUUCAAUAAUUAUUUACUUAUUGAUCAACAUUUCUUACUAUCUAGUUCAACUAUAUUAUGUAAUCAGUUUUCAACUAAGGUGCAACAAUGUUUGAAACAUAAGUCAACUUUGCUGUUUAACAUUAGCACUUUUUAGCAUAAUCCAUCUAACAUUCACUAAAAAAAUCAAGAAUCAUAAUUCUUAGCCAUUUCAACAUUUUCUAUGUGUGUUUGUCAACUUUUCGUUUUGCAUGUAUCAACAUUUACAAAAACCCACUUCAACAAUAUUACCAUAGCCAUCUCUGCAAUACUUUGAAAUCUUUGUUUAUUUGCUGCACAGCUGCCGUACAUCAUUGUAAUGAUAUUUUCUGAUUUUCUACUUACAGAAGAGUGAAAGAAAUUUGUUGAUCAAUAACAAAACAACACUUAGUAAUUAUAAAUGAUAUCAUAAUUCACAUAACCAGAAUUCACAUAUAUGUAACAGAAAUCCAUCUUGAGCUUUGCUCCUCUAAUACCCUAUGCAUUUGUCUUACUCAUAAAAAAAUUGUAAUUUUUAUAGUAAUUUCUGCUAUUAUUUUAAUAUUAUAUUUCUCUGCUACAUAAACAAACUCUUCUUUUUACUUGUUUCCAGUUGCUUGCUUUUUCUUUGCCUUCAGUUCUUUCUUCUUCUUCGGCUCCAUAUUAGGUUCUUGUGCUCCAGCUGCUUAUUUUUUCUGUGUGUUGUAUUCUUUCUUGUUCUUCUGCUCUACAUUAUCUUCUGAUGGAUGUUUUAAAUGAUUUUCUUUAGUCACAGACUUUCCAGUACUCACAGGUGGAUCUUUUAGGCAUAUUUCUCCUGUUUCUUCUGCAUUAUCUGCAAUCUUUCUUCUUUCUAGAACUUGCUUAUGGAAUUUCUCUAUUUUUUCAAGGAAAUCCUUGCUCUCUGAUCCACUAUUGCCGACAUCAUUCCAUAUAGUUGUUACUUUGUUAUUCAGCAUAGCAUAUCUUAUAGAUUUUUGAGCUUUGAUGCAUCCUGAAGUUUCUGCACACCGCAUCUUGUGCUUCUAAAGUUCUUCUUCACUGAAUUUUUUUUCCACCUUCUAUUUAUGCAUUUUUCUAGUAGUUCGUUUGUUCCUAACUAUGUGAAUAACCUUAAAACAUGGCAGAGAGUAUGCCAUUCCUUUUAAGUUUGGUGCACUCACAAUUGUACUGUUGAGUGACCUUGUCAACUUCAAUACUGAAUCUUUUUUUGUAAAACUCUAGAUUAUCAUAGUAACAGUUCUUGAUGAUUGUGUACUUGUGAUCCUUUUAUAAUCUCUUCAACACAGAAUGCACUUGAACUGUAAAAGUUCUGUUUGGAAUUUCACAAAAAAUAUCUCUGUUAUAUAUCUUUGCAGCUGGCCUUUCAAUUUUUUACUGUGUGCAGUAUGUUGGCUCUUUUAUUACACUUGUAAACUUGUUCUCAUCUUCUUUUGCUGCACUUGCUUCCUGUAUUACUUGGAACUGCCUCUUGAAAUUUUCUAAUGUGUCUUUGGGGAUGACAAAAUCUUUGAAAUAUGAAUUUGUGCUCUCACUCCUUGACGUUGACUGAACUAAUGGACACAAGACAUCUUUAAAAUAAAUUGGAAUCCACAUUUUCCUUGAACUAUACAUUAGCUGCAGGUGUUCAUUUUUUAUUGCAUCAUAGUCUUCCAACAUUUUCUGCCAUCCAGAUCCAAAUUCUUCAAUACUCAGUGAAUCAUACACUAAUUGGUUUAAUGUCUUGUCCAUUCCCUCUCGAUGCUUUUGACUCAUAAAGUAUCCACAUUUCUCUUUUAUAUUCUUCAUUACGUGCCAGAUGCACAAUCUAUGAAUUACAUCUGUCAUAAAGUCUGAUAUAGCUUUCUUCGUUGCUGCAUCUUGAUCUGUCAUUAUUAUCUUUGGUUUCUUCCCAUUCAUAACUUCUACAAAUAUCCUGAACACCCACUCAAAUGUUUCUGUUGCCUGAUCUUCAAGUGGAGCACAGCAAAAAAUAAUGUUACUUCCAUGACCAUUAAUCCCCACUAUUGGUGUAAAUGGUAAGCUGUACAUAUUUGUGCUAAAUAUUGUAUCAAAAGAGAUAAAAAUGCCAUAUAAAUCAUAAUCCAUUUUCCCUCUAGCAUCUGUCCAAAAGAUACUUCUUAUGUGUUGUUUUCAUCCACUCUCAUUGUGUAAUAAAAUCCAGGAUUUUCCAUUUGCACUUUCUUCAAAUACUUUACUGUUGCAUCAAUAUCUGAACUUUUUGUCUUAAUCUGUGCUUUCUGCUUCAAGUUGUCUAAAUUUCUUGUAUUGAAGAUUAUAUUUUUGAAGCUGCCCUUUAGUUCUCUGAAAAUUGACAUCAUUUUCAUUGGAUUUAUUCUUGCAUCUUGUAAAAUUCUAUUCCAAGGAUCCAAACGGGGCCUAAUUGAAAACCAUGGUAGAAUUUAGUACAACUUCUAUUGCUGGGUUGUGUGCCUGGCCAAAUUAUUAUUUCUCUCAUGGAUUAGUUUGUGAUUCUUUUGAUGUGCUAUUUGCAUAAUAUAACUCAGAUACAUGAGAAACUGCUUUAUUCACAAACAAUUAUUUUUUAAAAUUGGCGGUUGCAUUGUUGUCUUCAGCCAAAGAAAAUCUGGGCACAUAGUUGAACUUUCUGUACAAUAUGUAUGGAAGUUUAUUAAAUGAUAUUUUCUAUUUAUGGCAGAGAUUCCAACUGCUGAUGAAAUUGAGGUUUUCAAAGUCCUUCAGAAGUGCCUUGAGUUAAGAGACUCGUAUCUUUUUAGAGAAGAGGUUGCUCCAUGGGAAAAGGAAGUCAUAAAUGACCUCUGUACUCCAAAAUCUAACCCCAACCCAUUCACUUAUGUGCCUGAACCAAAGUCAAAGGUACCUUAGUUCUACUUGUUGCAUUGUUUCAAUAUCUUCCUUUUUUGUUACAUUGAGAUUCCAACUAUUAAUUGUGCUUGCAGCAUGUCUUCCAAAUGGUUGAUGGUGUUGUCCAUGUUUGUGAGGACAAGGAUUGUAAGUUCUCCUACUAGCGCACUUCACUUGCUUAACCAGAUGAUUUUGUGACUCAUUUAUUUCCCCUUCCCUUCCCUUUUCUGCCUCAAAUACGGAGAGAAUUUAUCCUGUGGUUGAUGCCACAGCCUUCUUCACUGACUUGCAUUAUAUUCUCCGGGUAACAGCUGCAGGGAACACAAGAACUGUCUGCCAUAAUCGGUUGAAUCUUCUUGAACAUAUAAUCAUGUUGUAAAUCAUUUACCUCUUUCAUACAUGAUGAAAAAAGAUGCUCUCCUACAGUUCUUUGGUUGUGAUGCAUUUCUUAUUUCCUUUCAGAAAUUCAAAUUUCAUCCGAUGUUAAAUGCGGAUAGGGAAUUUCUUGCCCAGAAGACCGCACCACAUCAUGAUUUUUACAAUGUCAGGAAGGUUGACACUCAUGUUCACCACUCAGCAUGCAUGAAUCAAAAGCAUCUGCUAAGAUUCAUAAAGUCCAAACUAAGAAAAGAACCUGAUGAGGUAUAUCCAUUAAUUAAUUGGUAAAACAAGAUAUGGUUGUUGCCUUACAAUCAUAAUUAUGCAUAUUAUCUCUUAUAGGUGGUCAUUUUCAGAGAUGGUACUUAUAUGCCUUUAAGAGGUUUUUGAGAGCUUGGAUUUAACUGGGUAUGUUUUGGAUUUGUCCUAUGUACAUAUAAUGCUCACAUCACCAUUGGCUAACAAUUCUUAUUCUUCUCAGGUAUGAUAUGAAUGUUGAUUUGCUAGAUGUCCAUGCGGACAAAAGUACAUUUCACCGUUUUGACAAACUCAACCUAAAAUACAAUCCAUGCGGCCAAAGUAGGCUUAGAGAGAUUUUCCUCAAACAAGACAAUCUCAUUCAAGGUAUUAGUUGCUCUAAUGUCCUUUGACUAGUCUUAUAAAUUUAUGUCCAUAGAAAGUUGGGACCAUUGAACUUCACUUGCCGUCAUUAAGAUGGACAAGUUAAAAUGUCAGAAAACCACAUAAAAAUAGUAUUUUAAUUAUAUAUUUAAUUAAUUGUGGCAGGAGGCUCAAUAGGAAAGUUUUCCAUGAAAACUAGAUAAAGGGAAUAGGUGCCAAAGAAAGCUUAAAUAUUUGUGUGCAGAAAUAUGUAGUUUUGGCAGCUGCUAUAGCCCUGCAACUUGAGAUAUGGUAGCUGCUUAGAACUGGCCCUCAUGCUUUGCCAUGGCAGUGGUAUAGUACAGUGCUGAAAAUAUUGGAGAAAUACCUUAUGCUCUAGGCUUUUAGGUUCGAACUUAUUUGGUAAAAGCUUUUCUUAGUUAUUCACUGUUCGUUUAUGAUCAUAUGGUUCGACGGUUCAUAUUCUUCUUGUUAAACAAUGAUUGAUUAGUAGAUUCAGCUAAUUUGUUGGCCUUAUACGUUAGCUUAAAUAGAAUUCCAAGAGAAAUCUUCUAAGCACACCUUAUGAGCUCCUGAGCUUAUUAACAUGUAAGACAUAGCCAUUAUCUUUAUAUACUCUUUGGAAAAUGGACUUAGACAUAGCUAAAGUGAUAAAUCUGGUUGCUAGUUUUGCUUUCUGCUUUGUUUGACAACAUGCCAAGUCUUGUUUGGAGAAUAUCAUUUGAAAGAUGUGAUUACUGCAUACUAUGUCCGAUGCUAAUUUACUUUGGUUUGUAGGGUAAUGAUCAGAUCAUGAUUCAUAAUUUAAUUAUUAUAUUCACUUCUGACCAAUAUUUAAUAUUUUCAAGAAAGGUAUAUUGGUGCCUUUUCGAGAUACUCAUUGAUAUUUGAUUUAAACUAGGUCGUUUCCUCGCUGAGUUAACCAAGCAAGUUUUCUCAGACCUUUCUGCUAGCAAAUAUCAGGUAAACUGCCAAGUUGGUAGCUUGUUUUUUUUUUCAUUCAGAGGUACUUCUUAUUUGAUAUAUUUUAACUUUUAUUAUGCUGUAAUGUGCUUUGCCAGAUAGCUGAAUAUAGGAUUUCAAUCUACGGAAGGAAGCAAAGUGAGUGGGACCAACUUGCAAGUUGGAUAGUGAACAAUGAGCUGUACAGUGAAAAUGUUGUCUGGCUGGUUCAGAUAUUGUUUACUUGCAUCUCUUGGCACUAGCUACUCGUGACAGUGUUUAUAAUUUCCUGGAACUUGGUGAACUAUUUUUCUAAUAUGCUAUAUUGGAUAAUUCUGUGACUCUGGGCUGAUUUAUUCACCUUGUCCAGUCGUCUACUGUUAGUCUGUCAUAUCAAUUGUGUUGGAAAUAGCAUCAACUAGAGGAGAGCAGAAAGUGAAGGAAGCUAUCAAGUAUAUUAUGACAUACAAGCUGAUAUUACAUAGGAGGGGUACAUAGGACUUUAGGUCGGUGCUACAGUAGCAGACAUGCUGUGCAGUCUGUUUACAUCUGAAGUAAAAACCAAAUUGACUAUUACUACGGGCUGCUAUCUAGUAGGCAGCAGCUGUAAGACUUACUGGUUAGGGCUGUUAUCUAGUAGGCAGCAGCUGUAAGACUUACUGGUUAAGUAAAGAUGAUCCUAGAGACAUCUAGUACUAGACAAGGGAUGCAGGCGGGCCCGUCUGCAGACGCCUGCAGGGCCACCCGCAUCACCUGCGAGGGCUAAUUAAUCGUUCUGCAGGAGCCCGUUGACAUAUGUCAGAAAUCUGCGAUCUCCUGUCGGGUUUUUCGGUAUAAAUCAAGCAGGCGUGCAGACGCCUGCCGAGAUCUGCGAGUCAAAUAGCUACUGCAUAUCUACAUCUCAUUUGUCUAAUAAGCUUGAAUGACAAAACUUUACAAGGGAUUUAGCUGGCAAAGCAAAAGCCUAUAUUAUCCAAAAUACUGCAUGGACUCUCUCCUGCAAGUACAAUAACAUUUAUCAUAAGGUUCAAACAGAGAUAUUAGCCUAUAUUAUCCAAAAUACUGCUGCAAACUAUGCUAAGUGUUUCUGAAAGUGAAGGAAAAGGAAAGGUCAAGACAAAGACAGAGCAAUGGAAACUUUCAGACAGGAAUAUUAUAAAGAUAAAUUCGUGUGCUUUUAAUGCACAAACACAUAAUGGUGGACGGGGUUUCUCUAAGAGACAACCAACAACAUAUAGGUCAUAUAAUGAUCAUCACCCAAUACAGUCAAUCUGAUAAUAGGGCAAUCAGCAUACAUAAGUAGGAUAGAGACAAAUCUUGAAUUUCCAGUGAUCAUGCAGCUCCAGCUUCUUCAAUAAUAUCACUCAAGCUGUCAAUCCUUAUGAUAUCCAAGUAAGAUGCACCUGCAAAAAAGAAAAGUUAGUAUGUAUUUUUAUGAUUCAAGUAAAUAAACCAAUGCCAAAAAAAAUAAAAAACAGUAACAUAUUACCUGCUUCUCUAAGCCAGUCUUGGAAACAAAUCAAAGCCUCGACAGUGUUGCCUGAUAGCCUAGUCCUAUGGUCAGUGACAAUUCGGCCACCCGUACUGAAUGCAGACUCGGCUGCAACAGUAGAUGCUGUAACAGCCAAUACAUCACGGGCCAUGCAAGCUAGAAUGGGAUAUUUUGGUGCAUGCAUCUUCCACCAGUGUAAAAUGUCAAAGCUAUCAUCAUUACACGGGAAUAAAUCAUCACAAUAGUAUCUAUCAAGUUCUCCCAUGACUUGAUUACACCGAUAACUCAUGUGUUGACUCCAGUCGGACCACGAGUGAACUUUUUCUGAACUUACAAUUUCACCUUCUUGAGCAGAAUAAUUAAAGGACUCUCCCAUUUCAGAUGAGUAUCCAUUGUACAAACUUCUUAUAGCUUUAUCUACUUUAUCAAUGUGAACACUAGAUGUGUCUCCAAAAGUCUUGUUUAAGCGAAACUCAACAAAUCCAAACUUGAAUCGAGGAUCAAGUAUAACUGGUAUGCAAUUUGAUAAGUAUGAGAUUUUCCAAUAUUUCUCAAACUUUGUCUUCAUUUCUGUCACCAUAGAUGCAAUAAUUGGGUUUUGACUUGAUGAUUCCCCGUCCAAUACUUCUUUCACACUCCACAUUUCAUGAAAAUAAAGAUUAGAGGUGGGGUAUUUUGAACCGGAAACAAUAUUGGUCGCUUUCUUGAAUAUCUUUAACAAAUUGCAGACCACUUUAGCUCUUUGCCAUUCUUCAAGUGACGAGGAGUAUAUGUAGUUGGGAUCCUGCCUUCCUAACUCAUAAAAAGCUUCUCUAAAUGGCAAAGCUGACUCCAGCAUAUCACAAGUAGAGUUCCAACGUGUCGGGACAUCUAGUGUAGGACGACUCCGACAAUCUAUGCCCAUCUCUACUAUUAUCUCCUCAAAUUUCUCCUUUCUAGAUGUGGAACCCUUAAUGUACUUCACGCUCUCUCUUAUAUCAUUGAUUACUCCAUCAAUCACUUGCAAACCAUCUUUUACAAUAAGAUUAAGGACAUGAGCUGCACAACGGACAUGAAAUAGAUCUCCAUUGCAAUGCAGCAUAGACUUCGCUAACAAAUUUUCUUGCAACAAAUCCAUCAUCGAUUUAUUAGCACCCGCAUUAUCAAGUGUAAUGCUAAAAAGUUUGCUUUCAAUAUUGUAAUACCGGAUGGCUUUCAGCAUUACACUAUAAAGAUUGAACCCAUCAUGUGGUGUUUUGACCACAGAAAAUUUAAUAAUUCUCUUCUGAACUUUCCAAUCUUCAUCAAUGUAAUGACAUAUGAUUACCAUAUAUCCAGUGUUUUGAUUAGAGGUCCAUAAAUCAGCUGUUAAUGAGAAUCUACGGUUCCAAGUUCCAAACAAAUCUUUUAGUGAUGACCUAUGAUUCUGAAAAGCCUCCAUGCAGUUCUCUUUUAUGGUUGUCCUAGAAACUGACUCGGCAAGUGGGUUCAGACUGAGCGAGUAACUACGGAAGCCUUCAUAUUCCACAAAUGAGAAUGGCAGUUCAUGUUGCACAAUUAAUCUAACAAGUUCACAACGAGUGAUUUUACGAUCAAAUUUCCAAUUUGCUAGGGCAGCUGCCUCUGUUGAAAAUGCUGAUGACUGCAAUCUCUCGACCAUGUUAUGCACUCUAAGUCUUGGUUCACACAAACGCAAAUGCCUACGGAUGUGACUAUUUCCUGAAUUUCGUGCAGCCGAAAAUACCUCAUUGCAGUGCUUGCAGCGGGCUUGAAUAAGUUUCCUACCAUGAUAGAUAGGGUCCAUAUCACUCCAAAUUUCUGAUUUUAGCCUCCGUAGUUUACUUUGUACAGAAGAGGAACCUGUAGCAUUGGUGUAAAAGAAAUAUUGGUUCUUAUUAAACAGAUAAAAACACUAAAGGGCCUCUAUACAAUAACAUUGAAAAAAUGAACACAUAAACAGUAAUUACCAGGUAGUGGAGGAGGGGAUGGGGACCUCUCUACAAGUAGUGGUGGAGAUGGUGGAGAACUUCUCGGACUAUGUGCUAUCACCACAGGGGACACAACCAACCUCAUCUGUGGAUUUCUUACCAGGGGAGAUCUUCUCACCAGGGGAGAUCUAUCAACACUUAGCAUCUUCUCCGCCAUUGGAGGCUUGAACCGCUUUGUUGCUGGCUGCUUUUUUUUACUUGUUUCUAUGGGUCUCUUUAGUGGAGAGCUUCUGGGAGAUUCUUGUUGAUUUCCAGCAGCAGAAGGUUUCGCCCGCUUUGCUGUUGGUUGCCUCUUUUUACAUGUUUCUUGGGGCCUCUUCAGUGGAGAGCUUCUGGAAGUUUCUUGUUGUUUCUUGUUGAUAGAUGGUGGGCUGCCUGAAGAGCCCCCAACAUCUUCUAGGUGAGAUGGUGAGGGCUUCAUUUCUAUCGUCGACGAGCACGAGGGUGGCGGCGGCUAGGAGAGGCCCGGCGUUGUCGAAGAUUGCUUCUUGGAUGCGCUGACCGGGGAGGAGGAGGAGGCAGGUCGCGACGGCGGCGGCGCUCCCGCAGAUCCCCUCGACUCCUCGAGCUCCCCUCGACGGAGACGCUCUCGCAGGCCUCGCAGGUAUCCUGCGGGUGGUCGCGGCUUCCUGCUUUAGCCCAGCAGGCUUUGCAGGCCGAUCCCACUUGAGCCCGUUUCCAAAACGCGGUUAACUGCAGAGACCGACUCACAUAUUUUCGCAGGGUGGGCCUAGCAGGCUAGCAGGCACACCUGCGCCUGCCUGCAUCCUGCUACUAGUAAAAUACAAAUACUAACACAAGGAUUAUAUUUUAAUAAAUUGUAAUUAAAUCUGGCAUUUUCUUCAGCUAUAUCUGUAGAUACUGCUGCCUUAUUCCCCCAAACUUAUGUAAGGUCAUUGUUUCUUUAGUCAAUAAUCAGUAUGAAUACCGGACAAAACUGCUUUCAACAACAGUCGAAUAUGCAGAAUUCCACAAUGAGGUCUUAGCCUAAGAUUUAGUUCUUAUUCAUGGAACAGUCAGUAGUACCUUCUUUUCCCGAUGAAACAUAAAUCUAUAGAUGCAAAGUUGGUACAUGGUUCUGUCCUGAUAUGUCUUGUGCAUUUAUGAAUUAUGCUGUUGUAUCCCAUGAAAAUAGUAACUAUUUUAGUUUUUGAUGCUCCGAAGACCGUACUUUUACUGAACAAGAUGGCAGUAACAACAAAAAGUUUUAACUUCCUUUGCACCGUUUUGCAGAUUCCACGCUUAUAUAAUGUGUACAAGGAAAUGGGUAUUGUUACAUCAUUUCAAAAUCUUCUUGACAACAUUUUCCUUCCUCUGUUUGAGGUUACUAUCGAUCCAACUUCAUACCCACAGCUCCAUGUUUUCCUAAAGCAGGUAGAGAAAUCAUUGAUAUAUGAAUUGUAAUUUGGAUAUCUACUGUGUGUCUUGCAUCCACAUUUCACAUAUCCACCUUCGCACUUGUGUGCGCGUGUGUAUGCCUCUGUGUGUGACACACACGUGCGUGCGCGAACGCACACACAGACACACAGAGACACACACAGCACCGCACUUGUGUGCGUGACACAUGCACCAUGCCUGUGCGCGCGCGAGCGCGCGUGUGCUUGUGUAUGUGUGACACACACUCGGAUGCACAAGUGCGCGGGUGCACUGUGCGAGCGUGCACUUGUUUUUUCAGCUAUGCGAUGUUGCAACUUAAGAUUGACUUUUUUCGCUCCUUGCAGGUUGUAGGGUUGGAUAUGGUUGACGAUGAAAGUAGACCAGAAAGGCGUCCAACAUAGCACAUGCCCACACCAGAACAAUGGACCAAUAUGUUCAGCCCUGCAUUUUCAUAUUAUGCAUACUAUUGCUACGCUAACUUGUACACACUAAACAAGGUGAUUAUAUUGGCCUUCUUCCUCUAAUUCUCUCCUUACUUCUUGGAGAAGUAACGCAUUUGUUCAAUUUUCAGCUGCGUGAGUCAAAGGGGAUGACCACAAUCAAAUUCCGUCCACAUGCUGGGGAGGUAAAAUCUAUUCCAGGUUCCUCUUUGAAAGUUUGGUAUCGUGUUUGCUCUAAUGGGUAUGCUCAUACAGGCUGGAGAUAUUGAUCACUUGGCUGCGACAUUUCUUCUUUGUCACAACAUAUCGCAUGGAAUCAAUUUAAGGAAGCCUCCUGUGCUUUAGUACUUGUACUAUCUUGGUCAGGUUAUAUGCUACCAAAUUCCAUAGCCCAGCAUGAUUUUAGGCUCUCUGUAGAUGCAUUCGUUGGCAUUUACUUCUCCAGUACUAAAAUGUCUCACCUGGUUAAAAAUAAGUGACGUUUUAGGAUGAGUACAGAACUUUCUUAUAUUUGGUUACAGAUAUCUAAAUGAACAUUUAACUUGAGAGAAAAUUCAUUUGAUGGGUAAUACUUCCAUAAAUCGUAACAUUUCUGUUCGGUAGGUUUUAUUCAUAUACUAUAGUCAGAAUUAAUGGUCAAGAUGUGUGUUGGGGACACUUUGUGUUUAAAACUUCACUAGGCUGGAGGCAAUAACAAUACUGAUCACAUGAUAAAUGGACUUGCCAAAUAUUCGUACUCAGAAUUUCUUUCUUAGUAACAUUUGAAUGACUCCACAUGUUGAAUCUGUCCGGUGAUAUCAUUAGGCUGCAUAAUUGUAUUUCUUCUUAGUUCUUUGAAGUUACCUUGAAAUUUGUAUCCAUUGGCUGCUCCUUGUGUCACAUUGACCCCACGUCUACUUUUCAGUUUCUUAUUUUUGAACAAUGAUGUUCUUCUUUCUAACCUUACUUUUGAUUUUGUCAGAUUGGUUUGGCAAUGUCCGUAUUGAGCAACAACUCCUUGUUUCUUGAUUAUCACCGCAACCCUUUCUCAAUGUUCUUCCAGUGAGGUCUGAAUGUCUCAUUGUCUACGGAUGAUCCAUUGCAAAUUCACCUGACAAAAGAACCAUUGGUGGAAGAAUACAGCAUUGCUGCUUCGGUACUGCCUAGUUCCUUCUCCUUUUCUUCUUCUGCAAUUGUCCAUGCACACAUGCAGCAUGAGAGUUCUGCACAUGUGUUUGUGCAUACAAGUGAUUUCAGCAUGCACCUUUGCAAACACACAUAGAUACAGAAUACGCUUUAUAGCUGCUGCACCUAUGCACAAAGGCAUGGGGAACUCAUGUCUGUUUUGAUGUUUUUUCAGCUGUGGAAGCUUAGUUCUUGUGAUUUAUGUGAAAUUGCGAGGAAUUCUGUCUAUCAAUCUGGAAUUUCACAUGCUCUCAAGGUGAGAAUCUUUUGCUACUUCUCUGGACAUUUUUGGUGCUUGUUCCAAACCUGUUACCUUCAUUUUAGUUAUGGAAUGAUGGUAUAAAAUGUGGCCAUCAGUAUGCUUUAAAGUAGUGCUUUUCCCUUAAGGGAGGGUGUUUAAGCUUUAGGCAUUUGAACUAUAUAUGUUAGAAAUGAUAUUAGAGAAGAUUCUUUCCGUGUGAGUAGUAUAUUUGUCUGCACAACACACAGCAAAUAAUUAUUUGACCUCUUGCAGGCACACUGGAUUGGCAAGAACUGCUUCAAGAGAGGCCCUGCUGGAAAUGAUAUUCAAAGAACGAAUGUGCCACACAUCAGGGUCCAAUUUAGAGACAUGGUAUAAACACUCUUCUCGUAUUGAUAUUGUGAAGUACUGAAGUAAAUGGCAUUAUUUUACUAGUCUUUUUGACUCAUACAAUGUUGCGUUUUUCAGAUCUGGAGAAAUGAAAUGAAACUGGUUUACCUGAACAAUAACAUCUUAAUAUCUGAAGACCUAGACCAGUAAGAUGUCUUCCCUUGUGUAUAUCCCAUAUUCGAUAUGGGAAUCAUACUUCAUGUUUGGGUAUGUAUGCUCUAUGCUCUAUCCCCUUCCUCUUGUAUAUCUUGAGACAAAAGUAUUCUAUAGCCUGUAUAAACAGGUAAUGUCGAAAAUCAACUCUAACACAGCUUUCUUUCUACCAUGCAGCCGCUGGAAGUAGGCAUGAGGAGCUAUGUAAUCUGGAGUGUCUCGGCUGGCAAAACUUCCAGAAAUGCCCCAAGCACGCCAGAGGAUAGAAUACCUAAAUAAUAAUGAGGCGAAGUGAAGCGGCACACAGGUGUAUGUUAGGCUUGCUUAUAGGGUGCAUUGUGAGGUGCAACUUGUAAAGAGUGUAAUCAACAAUAGAUGAACUCAGGCUAGAUUUCAUUUACCUUGCGAAUAAAGUGCUGCCACUUGUUCUGCUCCCCUGGUGAAAUUGGAGAUCAAACUAGGUUGCAUUCGCCAAGGCCAGACUCCUAUCCUUGCGCUGCUGUUUGUUAUUUUGAGGCAGUGAAUGAUUUUAUAGGUCCAUAUUCAUGUUGCUAGGUGAGGCUCUGGCUCCCUGAAAUGAUCCAUCGUUCUAUGCAUUGGAUAGAUCCAGCUUUCUAGGUUGUUGAAGGGGAUAUUUGAUUCCUGAGCAAAACUAGACAACUAGACAUGGUGAAGUUUCGGUUGUAUGGGCACAUGCUGCUCCUCUCUUCUUUCCUUGAAAAUUUGCUGAUCUAUGAUCCACUAUUAUGAACACCUUCACACGAUUGUUUGCAUCCAAACUGUGAACCAUUGAGCUCAUGACAGCCAUCCGUUGGUGAGAAGGGUACCGAAAUCAUAUUAGCGUACUCCUUCCUCUAAUUCCCUUUCCACUCACAUUGCUACCAAGGCCUUCUGAAUCCUCGGGAUUCGCGAGUGCUUAUAGUUCACAUUUUUGGACAGCAUUUUGUUGUUGUUGUUUUCGAUCAAAUUAAACUCUGCAUAGAGAGUUCCUUUUCAGGUCCUCCUUAAGUAAAGGACAAUUCAAACCUAAAGGCCAGUCCAAAUCUUUGGAGCGCUUUUAUCAAGUUUCUCAAGGUACAUGUGCGCUUGCUUUGACAGCAUAUGCACAAAAAGGAUCCCAAACGCUUUGAUACAUCAAGUUUCUUGAGAUGGCUUUGACAAAAAAAACAACAAAAAGUUUCUCACGCUCCUGACUUCCUCAUUAUCCAUUUUCAGCAACAUUUUUGUCCUGCAUAACUUUUCAUGUCUAAGGAUUUUUUUACUAUCUUUUAGGAAAACUUUUCAGAAAAUGUUUUCACUACAAUGUUAUUAUAAAAAAAUUUCUAUAAAUGUUAGAAAAAUAUUUUCUCAAGAACCUUCUAAAAUGUAUUCAGGAACACUUCUUUUCAUGUAGGAAUCAAAUCUUUUUUCUUAAAAAGAUAGGUAGACUAGAUUGGGAGAGGCGGAAGGAUAAAGAAGAAGAAUUGCAGUUGAAGAAAUAGAGAUUUCUAAAAGGGUCCACAAACUAAACCAUCAGGUUUGCGGACCUCUCCACAUAAAGACAGCCACGUGAUAUCACAUAUCAUGUGCUCACAACCAAUGCAUAUACAAAGAUUUUCAUCUUUUAAGAUGGUUGGAAACAACGAGAAAAUCCUUGAAAAGAUUGAAAACCCACCAAAUGUUUCACACAAACCUUUUUGAAAAAUUGUACACAAGUCAAGUUUGAGAAAUUUAUCUAAGUUUUCAUACUAUGUUGAUGGUUUGGAGAUAGUUGCAAAACUGGAAUAAAGCCACUAACUUUCUUGUUUGAUUCAGAAAUGUUUUCUCGUAUUACUCCCUUUCCUCAAAAGAGAGAUUGUAUCAUGAAGUCUCUUGUUUUGAGAUGAAACCUGAUUUUGGGUAGAAAUUCAGCUUACCUAAAAAAUGCACGUGGCAAAUGAGACGUUCAAAGGCUUCAACUAGAAAAGCCCAUUAACACAAAGGGCCGAGCCCAACAUAAGCCCGCGGCGCGCAAAAUUCCUUCCUCCCCCGUUGGCUAGGGUUUCUUCCCCGCCGCGGCAAACCGUUUCGAAGCGCCCAAAAGGGGGGGACGCGGGGACGCGAGCUUUCGCCUCACUUGGCGUCACACUCCGCACAGCGGGUCCGCUUGCUCCACGCCUCGUCCCCCUCCUCCUCCCCGCCGCCCCGGCCGCCGGUAGCGGGAUCAUGGCGUCGGCUAUCGGGUCGCGGCGGCUCACGGUGCUGCGGGAGUUCCGCCCGCACGGUCUUGCGGUCGAGGAGGCCGACGGCGAGGGCGGCCCCGGGGCGCGCCCGCCGCAGGACUACGAUUACUUCCUCUUCGACCCCGCCCUCGCUGCCUCCCCAGGCCCAGACCCCGGCGAUGAGUCCUCUGCCUCCAGCGCAGACGGCGACCAUGAGCUCUUCAUACGCGGCAAUCAGUGAGCAUUGCCCCCUCCUCUCUCGACUGUACAUUCUACAUUGUGGCGUAAAUAGGAAUUUCGAAGCAGCAUGGGUCAAAUUCCAUAUUGCAAUAGCAGAGUUAUUUAGCAUCUGGCUUUCCAAUUCUCUUGUUCUAUUCCACACUAGCCAGUCUUGUAUCUUAGUCUUUCCCCUACAUACCUCGUACGCGUGGUUAUGGUGAGUUACAGUGACCAAGCGCGUGCAUGUUCUGUUAUGAUGGUUGAUUUAUCAGCUUUGUAUUUCACUAUUGCUCAAAUUUUGUCUCCUUACUGGUUGAUGGAGCUGUGUUCUAUGGCAUUAGUUAUUAAAUCUUGCUGUACUUACCUAACUGUGUCAGAGUAAUACUGAACCAUGUUUACCUUGUAGCAACUUGUAAUUAGUAUCUCCAUCUGGAAGCAAAAUGCCAACGGUAGUGUUUAAAGAGCUCACAGAGAGGCAGCACUAAUAAGCAAUGACUCUUCAUUUUGUACUCUGGAAUUGUAUGGCAUCAUAUCACAAUUGAUUAAAUGUAUGCCUGCUACUGUUGUGUCAGGAAGUGUGGCAUGACCCUUUAGAGUCAAUGACCGUCACCUUGUUUAGUGUUUUGUGGGUGGGUUGUUUCUUUUUGGGGUGGGGCAGGGCGCAGGUGUAUCAGUUCAUUCUCUCAUGCAAAAGGGAUUCCGGUUACAUUUUUCAAUGGAUUGAACGAGGGCCCACUAUAAAAAAAGGUUCAGUUGAGUUAAAUAUGUGUGUACUAAAGUUUGUGCUAUGUUUUCUUUGUUUCAUUGUUUAGUUGAUUCUAACAAAUUUUGUGGAUUCUUUACCAUUAACAUCAUCUGUUCCUGUUUUCUCUUCCUUCUAGGAUAAUAUGGAGCAAUGGUUCUCGAGUUCAUAAAAGAUAUGUAUCACCAAAUACAGUCAUUAUGGUAUGUUUUAUGCCAUAUUGUUUAAAAGGAAAUUAAUUCCCAUAUUUUCUUUACUUGUUUCUAUCAGUUUUACUCGACCUUUUUGCUCACUUUUCACCUUUGUCAUUCGUGUUUGUUUUGUACCUAUAUAUUUAACUAUUCUUCUGCAUGUCCAAGCUGGUUUCACUGUUUCGAACUGUAUACAAAAGUAGAAUACCUUCAAACUACUACCUGCUUUCCACCUUUACUUUUUUGAGUAUACAGGAAUUAUUGUAGAUAUCGUGUGACAGAAUACCUUGCUUUUCUCCUUUUUGUUAACCUUACUAUGCAUUUUCUUCAUUUUACUCAUAAUAUUUCUGAUUACUUAACGAUAGGUUCUCAUUUGGUGAUGCAAACCUAAAUUGUAGGCUUGCUGGUGUCGGAUGAAUGCAAUCAGUGAUGCCCUUCUAUGUGUCCUGCAGAUUGAUACUUUAUCUCUAUACAAUGUAACUGGUCAGUUUACCCUGUUGGUCUAUUAUAAGCUGACUGACUAGUGUUGAAAUUUCAUGUAUUUUCUGAGGCUUGUGAUGUAUGCAUGCCAUAUUGCAGGUGAAGUUGUUAGUAUUCCACUACCAUAUGCUAUUUCAUCAAUAUGGCCACUCCCCUUUGGUCUUCUACUUCAGAAAUCAACUGAUGGAGGUCGUAUGGUGUCAUCCUCAAGUUCGCUGCUAAAUGCCAGGGAUUUAAAUCGUCCUAACAAAGAAUAUGGAUUAACUUACAAUGUUUCAUGCCAAUCGAACACCAUGGAGACAGACAGCAAAGCUAAUGGAGCCAUUAUCUCGUCGCACCUCAUUUUGAAACAUCCACUAGAAGAGCCUCAGGUAUAUGUUGUACAAUAUCAUCUUUGUUUUUGCCUGGUAGUGAUGGCUUGUCAUUUUCCAACGUGUUCACUUGGUCAACGGUCAAUGGACUAAUUUCUCUGCAGCGACAUUGUUAUUAUAUAAUUUCUGUUACAGGUUGCGCCUUGUGGUUUUAACAUGUUAGCAGGGCUGCCUGGUGCUUUUUUAAUCUAAGCACCAAUUAACUAUUUGCAGGCAACAUAUUUUGAAGAAAAGGACAAACUAACUAUGAUGAAAGAUUUUGAUGAAAAGGCUAUCUGGACAAGUGAUACGAUACCUCUAAUGGCAUCAUAUCAUAAAGGUUUUUAUUUCACAUUUCUCUACUCGUACAUUUUCCUUUUUUCUGGGUGGGUUUAAGAAAUUUACUCGUGGUAUGCAGGGAAGUUUCAGCACUCUGUUUGGCAAAUUGAUGGUGCAAAUUACCAGGAAGCAACGGAUGAAAAUACAAUGCUACCUGUCUCAUGCGAUUUUUCUUCACAUAAAUGUGCAUUCCGUAAGAUAUGGCAAGGGAAAUGCUCCCAAUCUGCUGCUAGUAAGGUUGAUCCAUCCUAAUCGUGUAUUAAGGAACUCCAUUUGUGUUAUUCUUUUAGAUAUGCUUAUAUUUAUUUUGGUGUGCCUUUUAACCUUGCUAACAAUUUGGUCUUACCAAUCAGCAGCAUCAAUCCAGCUAUUUUACUCAUUACGUGCUAAGUUGCAAUUUGUUCACCUAGGUAAUUUUUUCUUUGUGAUGUUAGGACUUAAGUCACCAAUUGAAAACUAUGGAUGGUUGUCUUUCAAGUGCUUUGAUAAAGAACAAUUUACGAUAGAGUAAAAUGCACUAGAGGUCCAUCAACUUGUAAGAGAGUGUCACUUGGGUCCAUCAACUCCGAAAGUGUAUUUUCAGGUCCAUAAACUUUUUAAGUCAUUCACAGCAGGUCCAUACCCCUCCACGUGGGCAGGUAUCGAUGACAUGGUGUGCCGACUGGGCAUCUUUAUCUCUCAUCCAUCACCCUCUCUCUUUCUUUUAGGAGGGGCAUUUCAUCAAGCACCUUGUGGACAAGAUGAGCUGCGCCACUAUGCCAUCCAAAUCUUGCCGGGCGUCGCCGGCGACCACCACCUCCGCACCGCGCAGGACGAGACCCACCUCCAGGAGCUGCCGGCUUGCCACGGCCACACCGGCCUUCGGCGCCCGGAAGCACGCGUCGAACGUGCCCUGGAACAUGAAGUCCGAGCGGGGCCAGGAGCGUGCUCGUGUAGUUCAACGUGAAGGCGUUGGCGAGGAGAGGGAGGUGAAGUGCGUGCCGGAGUCACCAUGGUCUGGCCCGCGCACGUGUGGUCCGGCUCCUCCGCUUGAUGCCGAAGAACCACUCGCUAGCAUCCCCAUGGGCAGCUCCCUUGAUUAGGCCGCCAUCCAAGUCCAAAUCCUGACGCAGCCAACAUCGAUUUGGCAGCCGCAGAGCUCAAUUUGAUGGUGCUGCCAACUCGUUGGCAUCGUCGCCAACAUCCUCGCAUGCCUCGCAUGCCGGGCAGGAGAGGGUCAUGGCGGCCGUGAAGCACAUCGUUAAGAGCCUGGCCGUGUCCAAGAACACCGACGACGACAUGAUGCACUUCCUGUCCACCUUCGACCGUCUUCGCCCGCUCUCCUCGCGGCGUCCAAUUGCGGCUGCGGCGGCGAUGAGGAAGAAGAAGAGAUCUCGCCGGAGAGGUCAUCCGUCGCUGCAAAACCUCCUCGUCCUCCGGCAUAAUCGGCAUGACCGACUACCUGUACGCCAUGGACAACGCCAUCACCGCGGCUGGUCACUCUGCCCGCGCCACCGUUGCCGUGCGCACCACCAUGCCGCGCCUGGAGGAGGCCCGCUCCCUGCUCUCUUCCUCCCUGCGGCACCUCUUGCUCUCCUUGGACGACACGCGACGCGCCGCCGCGCCACGGCACACUCUCCCCGGGCGCCACGGCACGCUCGUCCACAAGGUGCUUGAUGAAAUUCCCAGCCAAAGACAGAGAGAGGGUGAUGGAUGAGAGAUAAAGAUGCCCAGUCAGCACGCCAUGUCAUCGAUACAUGCUCACGUGGAGGGGUAUGGACCUGCGGUGAACGACUUAAAAAGUUUAUAGACCCAGAAAUGCACUUUCGGACUUAAAAACUUUAUAGACCCAGAAAUGCACUUUCGGAGUUGAUGGACCUAAGUGACACCCCCGUACAGUUGAUGGACCUCUGGUGCAUUUUACUCUUUACGAUAUGAUCUUACGCUGUAAUUGGUUGCUGCAAAAUGAAAAGAAAUAAGUAGUCAGGGACUUGAACAUUUUCCUUUUAUCAAAAAACAUAGGAAUAUCAGGGACUUGUACAGCAGUGCAGGAACAUAACUAAAUUUAAUUGCGGGGUGUGUGGGUGUGUUGUACUCUAUGUACAUUUCUUUUUCUUAAUGCAAUGUGCGCGGAUCUCCUUCGGGUUUGAUAGGAAGAAACAUAGGAAUAUUGUUUGUUUAGAGUUUCAACAUAUCCAGGUUCCACAUUACUGAAUUCAAGGUGUAGUAGACACAUUGGGUAUCAAUAAAGUUUUUCUUUUCUCUCUGUUUCAUCUUCUCAUGUUCUUUAUACUGGUCAUGACAGCAAAAUAUAUAUUUCCAACUAUUACUUGAACUUGACUCCAACUAUUCAUAUCAGGUCUUCUUGGCGACUGAUAUUGAUGGAUUGCCAAUAAUUUGUUUUUUACUGCAUGAACAAAAAAUAUUACUUGCUAUAAGGAUUCAAGUUGAUGAUACUGCUGAAGAAGCUUUUGGUGAUAUUAAGCCUCACAUGAGCUGGAACAUUCCUGCAUUUGCUGCUGUGCCAGUUGUCGUGACUCGUCCAAGGUGAUUGCCUAAGCAAAUGGUUUUGGAUCCUUAGUCUGCUACUGCUAAUUUUGCUAUGUUUUCUGCAGAGUACGGGUUGGAGUUCUUCCCUUUACAGACAUUCUCGUCCUGAGUUCAGACAAUGAUCUACUUCUCUAUGUAGGUUCCCUGUUGUGCAAAGUUCAGACAAUGCCGUUUUUAUUUAUUUUAUUAUGUGGAUAUGAACCUGAAGUCAGAUUCAUGCUGUUUUUGUAAGGCCCUGAAGACCCGGCAAAUGGUCUAGAUUUGCAUUCAAAUUUCAUUACUUUAGUUGUUUAUCACUUGGAAACAAGCCCUGGAUGUUCAUAACUUUAGUUGACCAGGAAUCGAUCUAAUUAAUUUCUAUUGCACUAUGAAUUCAAACAUUGUUCAGUUAAGGUUGAAACAUCAGCACAUGAAUUUAAACAUUGUUCAGUUAAGGUUGAAACAUCAGCACCCUUAGAUUGUUGCAGUUGUCCUAUAAUUUUCACUUUUAGAGCUUACCCUCCCGAUCGGAAGUGAAUUUUGAGGACUUACUCAAUAAGAGUCUUGUGGAUGCUGUGGGCUGUACCUAGUCUUAUAGAGGAGACCAUGGACCCAGGUGGCAUAGGCAUGGAGAUGAGCUUCUAUCUCAAUUAGUUAAGAAGAUUGUUAGGCUUAGGGCUGGCCAUAAAGGGGUGCAGGCAUUGCUAUCUUUUAACAAGAAACAAUCCUACAUUUUGCCCCAUCCAAUGCAUCUGUUGAUCAGAGCCCCUGUCUUGGCUGAACAAGUCCAGCUGAGUUGAGAGGGUGAUUGCGCUGCCAUCUGCCUUAACUUGAUCAUCUUUUCACAUUAAAGAGCUGUAUAGACAAUGCAUUUUGAAUACUGUAAAAAAAAUCCUGACUUCAGACCUUAUUGUUUGGUUAUUAGAUAAUAUGCCUUUUGAUUCCUUUUGGUUGCUUUUUACAAAGUUCACUGACAGUUCAGCGUAGAUUUAUUCGAAAAGUUUUACCACUCCACUUCUUUUCCUCUAUCUCUUUGCAUGAUGUAAUUUAGUAAUCUUUGUUUUUUUUAAUGUGUACGAUGCAGUCUGGGAAGCAGUGCCUCUGCAGAUAUACUCUCCCUAUUGAAUUGGGAAAAGGUUUCUUUUCAAAUUACGACCUAAAUUCUGAGAUUUCAGAUACUUACUCUGAUCUUAAGAUCACAAGCAUAGCUGAUUCUGUUGAAGGCCGCAUAAAUGUGACAUGCAGUAAUGGUCUGGUAGGAUGUUCAUGUACCUUUCCCUUAAAUAUCCUUAUAGUUUACUCUGCAUAUGGUUUAGAACUGUCUCUGUUCCUUUUUGACAAUUAAUGUCAUUUACAAAGGGUGUAAUAUCUUGGGGCUGUGUUUUGAUUCUUUGAUUCUUUAUUCUGCAUCGGUGAUGCUUUUUGUGUUUCGAACUAAAUAAUACAUAGAAAAAUCUUUCUGCAUUAUGUCUAUGGACUUGGUGCAAGACAACAGUUUAUGUGGUUUUGCACUGUACAAUGUGGGACUGAAAUACAGAAGCUAUUACUUUGGUUUUAUAUUUUUAUUGUUGGUUGGCUAAUCUAUUAUUCUAUGACUAAUAAUCAUGAGUUUCGUAUGUGAUCUUUUCUGGAAAUAUUAAUUAAGAUAGUUAUGGUGCUCAGCUCUAAAAAAACUUAAAUUUAUUAGAGUUCUUUUUUACUGUGCUUCUUUCCUCACUGUAAUUCCCAAUUUUGGACUGCUUUGAUAUUUAGCCUUCAGUUGAUCUUAUGGUAAGUCUUAUUCAUUUACUUUUUUUUUCCAGAUGCUCAGAUGUUCGUUGCGCAAAAAUCCUUCCUCUUCUCUGGUUACUGACUGCAUAACUGCAAUGGCAGAGGGCUUGCAGAGUUGCUUUUACAGUCAUUUUGUUUCUCUUUUUUGGGGUGAUAGUGAUGCUACGUACCUAUAUUCAAGCUCCCACGCGGAUUCAGAGUGGGAAUAUUUUAGUUAUGAAAUAAAAAGAGUUUGUACAAAAUAUGGACAAACUUUGCCAACUAAAUCAUCCACAUCGCCAAGUAAAGCUUGGGACUUCCUGAUCAACAGCAAAUACCAUGCUCAAUACUGCAAAAGGGCUCCAACUUCUUCCAAUUCAUUUCUGCCUGUGUCUUAUGAUACACACAAAACAGUCUUUAAUCCCUUUUCCCAGGAUGAGCAUAGCUCAGAUAUGUCAUUUUAUAUUCGCUUUAUGAGAGAAACACUGGACACAUUGCAUGCCCUAUACGAGAACCUGAAGCUUAACAUUUUGCGGAAAGAGUAAGUUCUGUUUCUUUUGUAUAAAGAUGUAUUUUGUUGAUAUUGCCUUUUUUCAAAUGUUUGCAUGGUAGUUUGUGUCAUAAGUAAAACAUUUUGCUAAAUUUCUGUUCACGUCCUUUCAUCAUGUAUGUCAUUCCUGAAACUCGUAGUUUAGUGCAAUUAUCUUGGAAGAUUUUCUUAUGUUGACUCGAGAAUGAUCUCUAGACUUUUGUUGUCUCAUAGGAGUGUAGCUUUACAUUAUCACUAACAGACUGCUGAUUGGUUUCCUCUUGUAGUUGCUACUAGCUAUCUGGCUUAUAUUCUGAAUUUAAAAGUGGCAUUCAUCCUUCUAACUUAACAAAACAGUAUUACCACCUAAAGUAACCCCAACAUGUCCUUCCAGAGAAAACUGGGAUACUUGGCCUAAAGGACUCAUGCAUCACUGCAGCUGCCUUGACAAUAAUAACGGUAGAUCUACUGAGAGAAAAAGGUAGAUCAACUCAGGAAAAAUAUUAUGGUAGAUCAACUAAUGCUAUCUUCAUUGCAUGCUGCUAUAGCAUUUAUCAAAUAAAAAAAUCCAUAGUAACGAAAACCUUAAAUUUUUUGAUUUUCUUCAUAGCUCAUGGGCAACUCGCUUCUCUUGAGGCAGAUAAUGUUAGAAGCCAGCUAAUUGCAUAAUAAUUCAUUUUUAGCCUGUUAAAAUGUAUGGAUCAAUGUUUCUGUGUGCUGAAAGACAUUUGAGCAUGAUUUCACUGAUUGUUUUUCAUGUCUAUAGGCGAAUCUUGUAGUAUGUCUCACUCAUGAUUGUUUUACUUCAGUUUACUGUGCAUGAAUUCACCGUGGUCUUGAAUAGCUUGAGACCUUUUGUACUUAUACCAGUGUUAUGUAACUACCAUAUUUAUGGCCAUAUUUCAAAUCAAUCUUGACUUUGUACUUUACUUUUUCAGGGAUAUAGGAUGUCUUGCUUCAUUGUUAUGUGUGGUUGCUUCAUCUCUGGGUGAACACACUUAUGUUGAUUAUUAUUGCCGUGACUUUCCACUCAACUUGAUUGAAUUACCUUCUCUAGCUUCUUCAACUUCUUUAAGAACUCCACCUUCUUUGUUUCGCUGGUUGGAAUACUGUCUACGUGAUGGUUGUGACUCAGCGAAGCUGGAAGACAUUCCUACUUUAAUGCGCAAACAGAAAGUUUCUGCUGUGAGUUGGGGUAGGAAGGUGGUGUCAUUUUAUAGUUUGUUGUUAGGAGCAGAAAGGAAAGGGAAAUAUCUCUCUUCUGGUGUGUAUGGUGAGGUUGCCAGUGGUUCAGCCAGAAACACUGAGGAACUUACUGUUCUGGCUAUGGUUGCUGAAAAGUUUGGUCGUCAGCAGUUGGACUUGUUACCAGUUGGUGUAUCUCUUGUGCUUCGCCAUGUGAGCCAACUCUCUAUUCAACCUUUUGGUAUGCUGCAAUUGAUUUUUUCUUGAGACAUGGUUUCAUAUUACAGGCACUGGACAAAUGUCGUGACUCUCCUCCUGAUGACUGGCCUGCAACAGCUUACGUUCUUGUUGGCAGGGAAGAUCUAGCUAUGGCAAAGAUGGGUUCAGUUAGGAAAGAUAACGGGUUGUGUAACAAUGAUAAUUUGACAUCAAUGUCAGUCCCUUAUAUGCUGCAUCUGCAACCUGUAACCAUACCAACGACUGCAUCUGACAUCCCUACAUCAGAAGUUUUGAAUUCUGAAGAUUCGGAUUCUGUCUAUAAAUCUAUUGAGGAUGGCAUGGAACAUAUCUUCACUUCAACUACACAACUAAGAUUUGGUCAUGAUUUGCGCUUGAAUGAGGUUUGUCGUGUCUAUUGAGUCAACCUGUCUUUCUGAAUUACUGGAUUGCAAUUGCAUUGCUGUUUACUUAAUAUUUUAAUUCUUACUUCUAAUUAUAAUCCCUACAUCAGAUGUUGUAGAAUAGGUAACUGCUACAUGUUUUGAUCCUUCACCAUAUAGCGAUUAUAAGGCAUAGCUAGUUAAUUUGUGGGCCAACUGUUGGUUAUGUGUUAUGUAUGAGGCACCUGUUGGGCCUAAUAUACAACCCAGUGGACCAAUUUCCUUAUUGGCUUAUCUAUUCUCGUAUCUGAUUGUCUGUUUUCUUGGUUACCUUGCAACUAUGAACUUAUGUUCAUCUUGAAGGCCAAGUUUUUACUCAACUGUAACAGUUCAAAGGCUCAAUGCUUUGCUUGUUAACACUAAGUUAAUGAGUUUUGCCAGAUAAAAACAACUAAAGUUUGUAAACUUCUUGCUCUGUCAAUCAGAAAAACUAGGCCGGUGGGGUAAGACCGGCCCACAGUUUUGUUUUAAGAAGAACCUGAACCUUCUCCCGGCCUAGAAAACCCCCCAAACCCCGCCUUUGCCGGUGAGGGGGAUUUUUUUAACCUAGACUGAAAAUUCGCUCCCACCAGGAGUCAAACCCAGGACCUAGGGGUAUUAUUAAAGCAUUACUACCACUAGACUACAAGCUCUUUCACAGACUCAAAAUGGAUGUAGGUGCCGAUACAAAAUAACCUUAUGAUAAUGGCCACGACUUAUAAUAGACCCAUAGCACACUUAUUAAUGCGAGUCUUUUUCUUAUUUGUAUAGUUUUGUGCUUCAUACAUUUUUGCAACAGGAACACUACGGGGCUUGUGUAACUCACAUUAGUCUGCUCUAAUCUUAUUUGAUUCCUUAUAUGGCUGCUUAUAAUUCUGUUAUAUUCUUUUGAUUAGGUUAGACGCCUCUUAUGCUCCGCAAGACCUGUGGCCAUACAAACACCUACUAAUCCUAGCGUGUCAGAUCAAGACCUACAACAGGUUAUUAUCUCUUCUCGCUUCUUUGCUCGCAGAUAUCAAGCUAUUAUCUAAACACAAACAAGCCAUAGCUCAACUUCAAAUUACCUAAUUGGCUAAUUCCUUCUUGUGCCGCUAGCAAUUGCUUUGAUUCUUGAUACUUUCCUGUGCACUUAGUUUUUAACAUCUCCUUUGUUAAGAAUUCAAUAAAAUAUGUCACCACUGAGCUACUGAAGAACAAGCAUUUCAAUCAGGGUAUCUUUUUCAUUGGAUCUCACUGAUUACAAACUGCCCUUGUUGCUGACUUUUUCCCUUGUAUUUUCAGCAACAAUUAUGGAAUUUUGCACAAAGGACUACUGCUUUACCUUUUGGGCGUGGGGCCUUUACUUUAGCUACAACUUACACUCUGUUGACAGAGGUAUGAGUUCAUACCAAAAUGUCAUGAUAGCCUGGAUGGCUGAUGUUGGUUUCCGUCAAUGUUUAGUACCACAGGCACCUUCAUUUCUUCCUAUCUUAAAAGUAUUUCCUUCCACUGCAGGUUCUGGUGUUCCCGAAGCUUGUGUUGGCUGGUCGAUUGCCGGCACAGCAGAACGCGACAGUAAUCCUUUUACUUCUGUAGUUUCAAUUCCAUUUUCUUCAUUUCUCUUGCAAUGUCCAGGAUAUCACUGUGCAUUUCACUUGAGAGAAUAGUACCGUGCUGUAAACAAGUUCAAUGUGUGUAAAAUUAGGAGUUCCGUUCUGAAAGAUGACUAAUGUGUGUAAAUAGUAGGGUAGCAACUUGCAAACCUUGCUAUGUUACGGUAUUAACCAAGUAGAAUUUCAAAACUGGUGGGAACAAUAACUUAUGGUAGCUCUCUAGUUCUCUCUUCUUUCUCUUUCCUCACUGUAUUUUAUACAGGUUAACCUUGACGUAAGUAAUAGAAGUGUCUCAGAAUUCAAAUCUUGGGCUGAGUUUCAUAAUGGUGUAGCUGCUGGCCUGAGGCUUGCCCCUUUUCAGGUAACGCACACGAUAAAAAAUCUAUUACCCAACUGUAGCAAAAUUCAGAGUUCACUGACUCUGGCAGAUAAUUUUCUGUAUGUGUUGUUUUCCUGUAGUUAUAACUGGAGCUUACUAUAGUGUUUUUCUGCAGGAGAAGAUGUUGAGAACUUGGAUACAAUACAAUAGACCUUCUGAACCAAAUUUUACUCAUGCUGGUCUGCUUCUAGCAUUUGGCUUGCAUGAGCAUCUAAGAGUUUUAACUAUGACUGAUGCUUAUCGAUAUCUCUCACAGGUGAUCUUAUUUGUUCUUCUUUGGUUAUUUGUGGCCUGGGCUUGUGUUCUAGGGUUAUAAUGGAGGGUAAAUGUAGUUGAUGGGAGGAUGAAGGAACUGAGUGCCUUCUCACCUUAUCACUGUUGUGUCAAGAGGGAAAGAGAGGGUGGGAGGGAGCGACCUAAGAAACAUAAGAACUAACAUAAACUAUAUCAUACUGAGUCGAUGAAAAAUUAUACUCAAAGUAACAGAAUAACUAAUAGAGUAAUAAGAGACAAGGGCUCAUCUCUAGGACGGGUGAAUGGUGAGGUGAGCUGUUCUUGGCCUGCCCAGAGUAGGUAUGGCCACACAUAACUGUUCGGUCCUUCGACAGGAAAAUAGUUGGUUUUACUAAUUCCUUGCUUUUGCGUUUUCCCUAAAACCUGUAUUAUUUAUUCCUUGCUUUUGGUUUUCCCUAAAAGCUGUAUUAUUUAAUCCUUAGUCCUUUUGUGUAGCAUAUCACAGCAUGUUAGGAGAGUGCCGCUGUGCUAUUUUGAGUAACUUUUGCAAAACUGCAUACUGUUUGUCCAAGUUAUCACAAAACUAUAGAUUUAAGAAGUUAUAUCCCGAAACUACAGAUUUAACAUGCCAUAGUUUCACAAAUCACAAAAACUACAAAUCUAGCAUGCCAUAGUAUUACAAAGUACAAUGGACAAAUUUAGUAUGUACUGUAUCACAAAACAACAGGUUUCACUCGUCUAAAAUCUAUAGUUUUGUGAUACGUUGAUGGAUUAAAUAUAUAGUUUUGAGAUACAUAUUCAUAAACCUGUAGUUUUGCGUUAACUUUGACAAGCAAUUCGUAGUUUUGUGAAAUUUACUCAUUUUCACUAAGCGCAAGCUUUUAUUUUUAUGCAGGAGCAUGAUAUAACAACACUUGGUUUGUUACUUGGUUUGGCAGCAUCUCAUAGGGGAACAAUGGAUCCUGCAAUAUCUAAGGUAUUGACUUCAGUAUGUUGGAUGUGUAUGAAUGCAGUUAUUAGGUGGGUUUAAUUAUCAUGGUUAGAAGUGAACUUGUGGACCAGUAUAGGGAACUGUUAAUCAAAGUUUAUUCCCUAUAUCCGAUCUCAUUUCUUUUGGGAAAUUUGAUCCAUUUUCUCUGUAAAUAAUAUAAUUUUUCUGUAGCCCGUACCUCCCCAUUGGGUGCUUGUAGCUCCAGUCCUGUUUGAACAGAUUAGAAUUUGUGUUACUCGACUAUUGUUUGGGAACUGUGAAAAAUGUACUGAACAGCUGUCAGUGUGGUAACCACUGUCUGUCUUAUGAAAUGUUGCCAACCUCCAAUUUUGUAAAAAAAAAGGUUUGUGCAUUGUUUUCUAGCACUGAAUCGCUGUUUUUUUUCUAAUCUCAAUACCUUUUUUGGUCCGUAUAGCUCUUGUUGCUGUUAUAUUUUUUCCAUAAAUUAAUAACAUUAUGACUAAUUGCAUACAUUGUUGUGCAUAUGACCUUACUCUGCUAUAAUAUUUUCUCAAUCGCAUUGGAUAACAGAUCUAGUUGAUCUUGUCUUAAACUUGUCCGCGAGAGAACCAAAGCGCAUACUGUCUUACACAAGCUGUUAGAGCUUAUGGUUUCAAAUCACCUAAAAAGAACAUGAUUUGAAUAGCUUAGACUCACAGUUUUAGACUAGAUUUGCAGGAGGACAAACAGUCAUAUUUGUAUGACUCUUUUUAUGGUUUUUGUCUGAUUUUUAAGUUAUUUCAGUUGCUCCCUCCUCUCUGUAAUACAGCGCCUCAUUCUCCUUUGGACUUGUUUCUGAACAUAAGACCCCCAGCAUGAACUGGAUGUAGUUAAUGAGUCAUUUCAACCUUGCACCCCUACCUAAGGCACAACUGCACUACCAUCUAUAAUCAUUGUCACCAUUGUGGGUGUUUCACCCAUCUAACGUGGCCCAAUAUCAAGAAAUUAAGUACCUUAGUGUUUCAGUUUUUUUACAUAUUGUGAAACUACACAACAUUUGCCUAUUUGAAAAACCUUUCAGUUGAUGUCCAAACUAAUGGUGUUUGCUAACAUGCACCUUUGUGAAUAUGGUCAAAGUUCGUGUAGUUUCAUAGAAGUUCCAAAAGAUGCAGUUUUGCUGUGAUUUAAAACCCAUAAAUGUACUCUUAUGAAUUUGUGCUGUCAUGCUGUUGUUGCUGCAUUGUCACUUUGAAUUUUGUGAUUUUCUGAUAUUAUGCUCUGUAUGCUGCGUUGGUUUUGCGGGCAUACAAGAAGGGAUAGAGUCCGGAACGAAGAGAUUCGAGAUAGGGUCGGGGUGGCACCUAUCGAGGAGAAGUUGAUUCAACAUCGGUUGAGAUGGUUUGGACAUGUACAACGGAGGCCUCCCGAGGCGCCGGUGCGUAGUGGAGUUUUAAAGCGGGGCGAUAAUGUAAGGAGAGGUAGAGGUAGACCUAGACUAACUUGGGACGAGACGGUCAAGAGAGACCUUAAAGAGUGGAAUAUCGCUAAGGAAUUAGCUAUGGAUAGGAGCGCUUGGAGAUUAGCAAUUAACGUACCUGAACCGUGACCUUUGUUACUUUUUGUUUAACCCCUAACUCUUCCUUUGGCUUGUACCCUUUUUGUGUUUCUUAUUCUUGUUUUCUGUGGGUUUCAUCUCUAGCCUAUCCCAACUUGCUUGGGACAAAAGGCUAAGUUGUUGUUGUUGUUGUUGUCUGAUAUUAUGCUCUGUGGCAACUUGAAAUGACUGGCUUUAUGAUAACUUUACAGAUGCUCUACUUUCAUGUUCCUUCUCGGCAUCCAUCUUCUACGCCAGAGUUGGAAUUACCAACUCUUCUACAGGUAACCCUGCAGUAGGCUAUUGCAUGCCUUUCCUUUUAGCCUAAUAUAAUUGAACUUGUGAUACUUAAUUUAUUUUUGAAGCCUGGUCUUGUCUUUAUGAGAUUUAUACUAUGGAUUUGCAAACUACCCACGCCUGAUUUUUUUUUCUUCACUCAAAUCUUCACCCUCCUCCCCAACUCUGACGAGAUUGGCGUCUUCCUCUUCCAUCUCUGACAGUAUCAAACGUCUCAUGCACCUUAUGGUUAGGGUAUUUGUAUUCUUUUUUUUUUGUUUUGGGGGGGGGGGGGGGGGGGUUAGGGUUGCAGGUUUAGAGGGGUGGCCAGGGGAGGAAGGCUAGCCCAGUGGUGGAGGCGGUCGGUGAAGGGGGCAGUGGGGGCUUCACUCGUGGUGGAGGAGGAUUACAGGUGGGGUUUAGUGCGGUAUGGGGACCAGUGGCUGGAGACAGGAGUGCAGGGCGGGGACAUUGGUCUCUUCUCAGGCAUCAUGGCCAUAGCCAGAGGAAGAAGAUGCCUGGAAGUAGUAGGAGGCCCCUGGAUGAAAUGUUUGAUGAAGAUCCAAGGGCCCAAAUUUGGGGUGUGGGUGUGGGUAGUAGAAACCAACACCCAGGUAUGCAGUAAGGACCCAUCAGGGCCAUUGUUGAAUAAGAUGCUAAACCAUGCAAAUUUGCAAGUUUUGUUGGUUGCUUAGAAUACUGAGUGGACAUGAUUGUCCUUUUAUCUUUGUUUUUGUCACUAGGAUAAAUGUUCAGAUGUAGGUUUGUACCUGGUCUUACAUGUAGCAAAUGCAGUAAGAGCAAGUGAUAAAUUGUAGAUACUAGAGACAAUAUGGAGUAAGUGGAUACAAUUAAACCACACAGACACAGUUGACAUAUUAGUAAGGAUAGGAUUUGUGCCAAUAGGUAAUCGCCUUGCUGGAGUUUUCCAUUUAUUGAAGAUUGAAGUGUUAUAAUUUGGAUGGUAAUCACCUUGCUGGAAUUUUCCAUUUAUUGAGGAUUGAAGUAUAAUAAUUUGGAUGCUUUUCAGAAGACUUAAAAUUUGUCUCCGCUAAGAAUUAAAGACUAAUUUGGUGGUAAUACCAACUUCUCUUUUCAUGCUUUAUGGUCUUUUUAAAAAAAGGAGGGAAGAGAGAAAACAGGCAGUGUGAAUUCAUGUGGUUUCCAUGUUCAUUUUUGCUGAAUAGCAGAGAAAAAACGCUGUCCUCUUUCGAACUGUUUUAUCUGAGUACAACUGGUCCUGCAACAGGUUACAUGAGCAAACACCGGAAAUGAAGCAAAUGAUACUUAGUAUUUAAUUUAUGGAUGCUUGUUUUUGUACUGUAUUAUUGUACCCUGGUAUGUACAUCAUGAGUGUCAGGAUUGACUAAUAAAGCUUGUAAUGUGGCUUGCUGAUUUAUAUCGCUCUUGUAGAUUCACACGUUGGUCCCCUAGUUCAUCUUUACAUAGUGAUUCACAAGCACUGAUUAAAAACAGUUACUCUAUUAUCAGCUGCUCUGUUAUGUCGUCUUGAGCAAUGCCUUACUUAAGCUGAUUAAUCCUAUAAGCAGACAAGUAUUAGACACCAACUCUUCCUUCAAUUUUCUGUGCUCAGUCAGCAGCAGUCAUGGGAAUUGGACUUCUAUAUGAAGGCUCAGCACAUGCACUCACCAUGAAGAUACUUCUGGUAAUCAUGACAAUAAGUCAAUAAGGCUCCCUUUUUUCUUCUCUUUUGAUCCUGUAUCAAGUUGUCCUUUUCUUGUCUUGGUUUUUUAAAUCAAAGAGCAAAGAAAACAUUGCUUCAAUUUUUCUGGGAUACUACCAUGAUGUUAUUCUGCUUAAUCUUCGAUGCUAGCAUUUUGGUAUAAGUUCUGGCAAAAUAGAAAAAUUGAGAAAAAUUAACCUUCUGUUUAAUGUAGAUUCAUUAUUUUUUAAAUAUUUCAUUAUUGUGGCAGUUUCACAUGUAAAAACUGAUCUUCCUUUGACCUUACAAUAUGCCUUGGUUAUGACUAAUUUUUUUAGUAUUACACUAAUAUUUUGAUAGUGUUAUUAUCUUUUUUGAUUCAUGUGGUUAUUGUUAGGUUCCAUCUCUAGGCUACACUAACUUGGUAGUUGGGUGUUGGAACUAAACGUUUUUUGUUGUGUCUUUAGGGUGAGAUUGGUCGAAGAAGUGGUGGUGAUAAUGUGCUAGAAAGGGAAGGGUAUGCUGUUGCUGCAGGUUCCGCAUUAGGAUUUGUUGCCUUGGGUGAGUUACAUUCCAUAAGAAAUAUUACCUGUUGCAUUCUUGAAGUGGCAUGCUUGCACAAAGUAACGAAAGAGUUUCUCAUAGGUCAUGGCAGUGAUGCAUUUGGAUUCAUGGAUACUUUCCUAGAUCGACUUUUCGAGUAUAUUGGCAGUAAAGAAGUCUACCAUGUAAGAUUUUUUUUUUCAUAGCACUACAUGCUUCAGAAAUAUAAUGUUUCUGUUGCUCUCUUAAGAUAUGGAAUUCUCUGUGAUACAUUACUCUCCUAGUUGAAUUUCAGGAUGUGCUACAUGGCUUAUGCAAUUUAUUUCUUUAAGAUUCAGCUUUGGGAAGUGGCAAAUCCUGUAAAUCCCCUUAGGGUAUUUGAUUCUUGAUUUAUUGAUAAGUAUUUUAUUCAUAGUGAUCGAUGGUGCUACUAUAAUGUUGAUAUGUGCCCUUGUUGCCCAGCUAUUGGAAUGACAUGUGGUAAUAGAUCAAAAUAUUUGACUGAGUAUAUGAUCUGAAAUGUUUAAUACUCCCUCCGUCCCAAAAUACUAUUCAUUUUAGCUUUUCUUGGUAAUAACUUUUGCUAUAUAUCUAGACAUAGUAUACAUCUAGAUGCAUAGCAAAACCUAUGUACCUAGAAAAGCCAAAACAAAUAGUAAUUUGGGACAGAGGGAGUACAUCGGAGAAGCAAAUGAGGCUAUUUUCCAUGAGGUCAAUAACUUCAUCACACCUUCGCUAUAUCUAAACUAAAGUAGGUACAAGUGAACACGUUUAGCUUCUAAGUUGUCAUGGAUGGAAUGACCUAGAGCUAAAUAUCUAAACUAAAGUAGGUACAAGUGAACACGUUUAGCUUCUAAGUUGUCAUGGAUGAGAUGACUAGCUAAAUAGCCAAGGUGAACACAUUUCAGUUUGCAAUGGUGUUAUACGGUAGUACUGAACAACAUGCCUCUCAAAGCUUCAUUGGCAAGGCCAGUUUGCAAGCUAUGUUUUCUUGGUUAAUUUCAUGAUUGGUUUAGCAGCAGACUGGUGGAUUUUGACAAUAUGCUUAUAUGUAUCCAGUUCGGUGGAUAUUAGCUGUAAGCUACGCCUCUCAUAGAUUGUAUCCAGUUUACUGAUGGAAGCUGGAUAUAAAGCUUCAUUAAGGUCUUUACUGAGUUGGGCCUUUAAAUGACUAACCGCUGCUUGCAACAUCCACUGAACAGAUACCAGCAUUUGAUGUUUCUUUGUUUCUUUCCCUAAGUCAAUAGUUAAAAAUGCUAUUUGAAGAGUAAUCAGUGCCAUGAUUCUUUAUUUAGGUUUAUCAGUGUCAUGAUUCUUUAUUUAUAAUUCUAUUUUACAAGUUGAUGAUAUUCUCAGGAAAAACACCUAAAUGCAACAACUGCUGAUGAUCAAAGUGUCAGCACUGGCCAGGUCAUUUCACUUUACACAGUGAUUUCCAAAGUUCCAUAAGUAGCUAUAGGUUUUGAUAUGUGUUGCUAUCUUGUUUUUUGUACAGAUGAUGGAUGGAGCACAAAUAAAUGUUGAUGUUACUGCACCUGGAGCAAUAAUUGCUCUAGCUUUGAUAUUUCUGAAGGUAUGUUUUCUUGGUUACAUGGUAUCUCUUUAUGCUUUUAGAAAUUAUUUUUAUUGAUAACGCAAUACCCAUCUGAAUUUCUGUAUUAUUACGGUUCAUAUUACAGGCUGAGUCUGAAGAGAUUGCGGCUAGACUCAGCAUCCCCAAUACUUACUUCGAUUUGCAGUAUGUGAGACCCGAUUUUGUUAUGCUUCGCAUUAUAGCCAGGAAUUUAAUAUUGUGGAGCAGGUAAUCUUGCGAUUUCAAUCGUAAGUUCUUGUGUGGCUUGUUGAUGGUAGCAUAAAACUAAAGAACUAUGUUGUCCUGCAGAAUACAACCUACCAAAGAAUGGAUCGAUUCUCAAAUUCCUGAAACUGUAAAGUCUGGUGUUUCCAACAUUAGUGAAGGGGCUAUCGACAGUGAUGAAUUUGAUGCUGAAGCUCUUUUUCAAGCUUAUGUUAAUAUAGUGACUGGAGCGUGCAUUGCACUUGGUGAGUAGCAUUGUUUGUUGUGGACUUGUGGCAGCUGACAUGAGUCACUAACUGUUUGUGCUUCAUACUAUUUUCAUAGUAUAAUGUUUUUAAGCUUCUAUAAAGAUGAGCUAAUUUAGUUUUCAUAAUUUCUUGUAUUAUUUGUUUAAUAUAGGCUUUACAUUGAUAUUGAACAACUAAGAGGAGCUAUUGUUUGCUGGUUAUCUUAUUCUAGUCCUGCUAGUCCUGUACCGGCUGAAUAAAUUCUCUUUGUAUUGUUCUGUUACUACAGCACAUCAUCUCCUUUUCUUUAUUUUCGGAGUAUGGUUUACUAUCUUUUUGUUCGUGGACGCUGUUGAUGCUUAUAUUCUUUGAUCGACCGUUUUGCAUAACCAAGUACUCAUGAAGCUACAGUGGUUAUUUUAGUGGAGCUAUCAGACUCCUUUAUCGAUAAGCCCAUCACAUGUUUGCUGCCCUUCACUGGCGUAAUCAAUGUUUGCAGGACUCAAGUAUGCUGGCAGCAGAAAUGGGGAUGCCCAAGAACUACUCUACGCCUACACUGUCAAUUUUCUAAACGAGGUAUGUACAUGGCCUGUUCAAUUAUAACUGUUAAAUAGUAUUAUGGUAAUAUAAUUGCUCAUUGUUAUGCAGAUUAAGCACAUACCUGUUCGAACAGCAAAUAUACUACCAAAAGGAUUACUACAAUAUGUUGACCGUGGAACCCUUGAGCUCUGCUUGCAUCUUAUUGUUCUAUCUUUAUCUCUGGUUAGUGAGAAAGUUUAUCAUGAUUUUAUUUACAUAGAAUAUAGUACACUCGAUACAGAUGCUGCUGUCUUUACACAUUUCACGAAAUCUUACUAUUUUUACAUGUCACACAUUGUUGUUGUCCUAAUAAACAGUUUUCUGCACCUAUGUGUUUUGAUUUUUUGUCAUUUUCCUUUGCUAAGGUAAUGGCAGGAUCAGGAAAUUUGCAGACUUUCCGCUUGCUGCGUUAUCUUAGAGGAAGAAUUUCCGCAGAAGGACAAGUGAAUUAUGGAUUGCAGAUGGCUGUGAGUAUCAUUAAUAGCUCUGAUGGACAAAUUUGUUUUUCUUCAAAAUCAAAUCCCAGAGGACUAAUAACUAAUAUAUUCUUUUAUUGUGCACUAUGAGGACUCUGAAAUGGCUAAAGACCAUCGGGCCUUUUUGACCGAGUCGCCCUCUAAAUGUGAUUUCUUUUAGGCAGUCAUCUCUGUUACCUUUUUGACCGAUGUUUUAUGUUAUGUUGCAUUGAGCACAUUUAAUUAUUUAUAUACAUGAAACUCAAUUAAAGCUUGAAAGAAAACAGAUUCUGGAAAAUCUGUUAGAAGACUAAUUGGGGUUGUGUUAGCUGGGCUCAUGGGCCCGUCUCACAGGCCUUCUGCCUUGUGCGCCUAAGGUGUUUAGGUAGAUAAUUAUCUAAUAGGCAAGGAUCUCCGUCGGUUUACUCUGUUUCUAUAAGUCUAACCCUAGGACCUCCUUGCCUAUAUAUGUGUACCCGAGCCAUACAUUGCUUUCAAAAUCCAUGGGAUCGGCUGGUUUUCACUUCGUUUUCUUGAACUGCCCUUUGGCCAUCACUAACGUGGCUACUGGAUUCUAUAUUCUGGCUUUGGCUUUUGGUAGGGAACUGUGGGUGUAUUCCUAGUUGAUACAAAAUCUUUUGGGUGCUUCUGCCAUAUGAAAAUUAAACUAAAUUGGUAUUUCCUGUUAUUAUCAGUUAAAUCAAGAAAGAUGCUUUCUGCUCCUUCUAUAUAUGUUUUAUUACACUUCAGUGUGUGUUUGGUUCACAUCUAAAUUGGUAAACAAUAUGAGAUAUCUUAUUAAAGCAUCAUUAUAUGAAAUUGAACUAGAAAAUCUGCUCUGAGAUUUUUUUUCUCUCUCACGUUGAUGAAUUAGUAGCUUAUUAUGUGAGAAAAUAGGCUAAUCCCGUUUAUCAACAAUGUAGGUAAGCUUGGCUAUAGGAUUCUUGUUCCUUGGAGGCGGGACACACACCUUUUCAACUCAAAAUAGUGGAAUUGCUGCAUUAUUGAUCUCACUUUACCCACGUUUGCCCACUGGACCAAAUGACAAUCGCUGUCAUCUCCAGGUCUUUGUCUUCUACUUCCCUGAGCCUCUGACCUUCAUUGUAUGUCAUAGCUUCUUUUGUUGCAAACAAAUUUAAGUUCUUUGUGUCACUGUAAGUAGGCAUUCAGACACCUAUACGUGAUAGCUACGGAGCCUCGAUGGGUUCAGACGGUAGAUGUUGACACAGAACUUCCAGUGUAUUGCCCAUUGGAAGUGACAAUUGCUGAAACAGAGUAUUAUGAUGAGACCAACUAUUGCGAGGUGACACCUUGUCUUCUGCCAGAACGCUCAGUGGUACGUAUGGUUGAUUUGAUUUAUGUUUAAUGGCAAAACAGUAUUCUUAUAAACACUUUUAAACAUGUAAACCAUAUAUUCAAAGUUUUGAGGUGACUCAAGAACACAAAAGAAUUUUGCGCAGCAAAAAUGCAGCUUUUGGUUUAUCUUCUCUUUUUUAUAGACCAGAAUUACAGGGCCUUAGUGGCCGAAGCUAAUGGCCAUGAUGGCCCUAAAGCUCAGGGGGUGCUGUGGAGAACAAAAUGACUACUACCACUACUUCCUAAAGACCAGGACCUGCUAACAACCUUGACUUGUUCAGCCGACUGCUAACUGAAUGAAUGACUGAACCUGAAACUAUGAACUUACUGAAGGGAAACUUAAAGACUCGACACUGACAGAUACUGAACACAGGGACAGGGUUUACUUCCAUCAAAAUGGUUCCGUUGCCAUGUAUGAUUAAACUCACUCUUGUGAGCUGUUUUUCUAUUACUAUAUCCAGUAAAAGUAUAAGCUAUGAAUGAAUGGCAUUGAGAACAGAUAAUAUAGGAAAGAAAAUCACAAUUUUCUUAUGAAAUGUGUGCGUAGGGGAAGAAAAUUUAUGAUCACGCAAAAUUUCAUAGAAGUGGGUAUUAGUAAGGCUUCCAAGUGUUCAACAAUUUUUUUCAGCCCCCUAUCUUUUUGUGUUUUCUGGUACAAUCAACUUUGAUAACGAGUGUUGCCUGUUGACAUGCAACCUUCCCUAAUUUUUUUCAGCCCCCUAUCUUUUUGUGUUUUCUGGUACAAUCAACUUUGAUAACGAGUCUUGCCUAUUGACAUUCAACCUUCCCUCCCCCCUUCUCACUCUAAUUUUUUAAAAUUUUGUUAAUUAUAUAGAAAGUGCACAGGUUUAAACUUAGUUGCAAGUUUGGGCCAGUAUAUUGCAGAAUCUAAAAAAGGCUAUUUCUGUUGCAGCUUAAGAGCAUUCGAGUCUGUGGGCCUAGAUAUUGGCCUCAGGUGAUAAAACUUACACCUGAAGGUAUAUUACUUAUCCUGAAUAUAUCACGUUUCUUCAAAAAAAGUUGCAUUAGAUUCUUAUCACGACUCUCAAAUAGACAAACCAUGGUGGAGAUCUGGAGACAAGGCAGAUCCAUUCAAUGGGGGAGUAAUCUACAUAAAGCGAAAAGUUGGAUCAUGCUCCUAUUCUGAUGAUCCAAUUGGCUGCCAGUCUUUGAUUUCACGGGCAAUGCAUGAGGUUAAUCUUUUGUUACGCUUGUGCGGAUGUGUUCCUUACUGUCUCAAUUGAGAACUACAGGUGAUACUGACUUGUAAUUUUAUUGUUCACUUACCUCAAACUUCAGGUUUGUGAUACACCAUCUGCUAGUUGCAGUAAUCAACCAAACAGCACUAAUCAUAGCUCCUUCAGAGUUGAUCAACUCGUGAGCACUUUUUCAGCCAAUCCAAGCUUGAUUGCUUUUGCAAAACUGUGUUCUGAGUCAUGGAAGAACAGGUGAGUGAAUUUUUUUUCCUCUUUCCUUAUAUUUGCUAAGAUGAGUGGCUGGCUUGUUUUUGUAUUCUGUUCUAAUGUUGUCUUCCAACUGCAGAUGCAAUGGCAAUUUCCGAGAGUUCUGCUCUCAAGUGCUGUAUGAAUGUAUGAGCAAAGAUAGACCAUCACUGUUACAGGUUUCAUACUGUGAACUGGCAUAUCAUCUUUUACACUCAAUUAUCGGCUAGAUUGUUUUUAAUGACAGUUGUUUUCCUUGUUUCUCUUCCAGGUCUAUAUCAGUUUUUACACAAUAAUUGAAUCAAUGUGGGAGCAUUUGAAGAUUGGAAAUUUUCCUUUCUACGAUUCCCUUUUCCUUUCCAACUUGAAGGUUCGUAUGGAGCGCUUUAUGCAUGACAUAUCGGUCUUUAUUGCCAGUUCCGGUUUGUUUGAGUCUCCAUUCUAAAAAUUGUUUCCAGCAAAGUUACCUGGUCCAAUGCCAGAAACUAAUUAGUUCCUUUUUUAUUGUUUGGGCAGUCAUUUUGUGUUUUUCCCCCUUCACUUUUUAAAGUUUUAUCAUACCUACAUGCUGCAUGUUGAUAAAGUUUUCAUAGUCAGAAAUCACCCAACUUUUGGUGAUGUUCCUAUGAUUCCUCUUUCUGAUGUGCAGGUGGCUUUGGCCUACAAUGAAGCUUUAGUGGAUGGUAGAAUCACAAAUGGAGGAAUUAUUCAGUCCACAUUCUUGGAGUCGCUUAUGAAGCGCGUGGGAGACAUCUUUGCGGAAUUGCCUAACCUCAAGGAUAACCUUCACAGUUAUUUGACCACAAGCAGAUGGCCUGGUGAACAAAACGAUGCGGCGAUCCUCUCUUGGUAUCUCCAGUGGUACAGCAUCCCACCUCCCCAUGUUGUGGCUUCUGCUGUUGAGAAGGUUAAGCCCAGAGUCCCUACUGGGGUAUCCAUGCUCCCUCUGCUUCGCCUGCUCCUGCCAACCACGCACCUUGUGGGACUGAUGGAGAUCGAGAAGUUUCAGAGUGCCAUGAAGGCCUAAAAGCCCAGCGUUGCAAGUGCAAUCAAUGCUGGGCCUUGUUGCAAGGGUAGUCAGCAUUGUUAGCGCACUAGGUGAGAAUGGGGGAACUGAUUAACCGACGGCAGGUCUUCGUUACUUUAAUGGGUUAGUGAAGGGCAUCUCUGUACAGUUUCUGUUGAUCCGUAGUGGAUUUAACUUAAUUUAGCCUAUUUUGUCUAUGAUUUAUUCUCGGCAAUACUUUUCGAGGAAAGCUUAUACUUCCCGGUCUAAAUCUAUGUAUAUAUAAAAGAAGUUUGAACUCGAAAUUUGAAGUUUAAAUCUAAAUAAGUCUGUAAUUUUUUAAUUUAGUUCUACUUUAGAUUCAGACAAUACAAAUUAAAUUUGGGAUUGUACCAAUGUUUUGGGAGGUAGAGGAACAAGAGGAGAAAUGGAGGUGGCACGCACUGCCUGGAAUGCGCCACCUACAUGGGAAGCUGUUGUAGACGUAAGUUAGCAUUUUGGGUCAUCUUUUGUAACGGCCUAUGGAGUAGUGGAUUCCAAAGCUUGUGGUGCUCGUUACUGGUUUGUGUUUUACAAUAGUAGCAGGAUCGAUCGUCGGAGAUAUCAAUGAAACCUCUCCUUUUGCUUGGGUUUGCCCGUAGAGUUGCGAACAUGUUAUACAGCUUGUGCAUGCGUGUACCUCGCAAUAUGAUCUGUAUAUGUGCAUCCACGUGAAAGAGAUACUAUGGGUGUAAAGAGUCUAGACAAGCCUAAUAGGCUUGUUCAUCAGCACCUCCGGACCCAACUCUGCAACUGUCUGAAGAAUUGAAGCCAUGCGCGCGUUCACGGUGAGCGUGACAAGGCCGCAGCUCGUGCUUGCCACGGCAGUGGCGGCGCUGGUGUCGUCGUCACAGCUGCUCUUGCUGGCAGCCGCGGCGGAUCAGAUUGGGCGGCCCGGUUGCCCGACCGUCUGCGGGGACGUGAGCGUGCCGUACCCGUUCGGCAUCAGCCCCGAGUGCUCCCUGCCGGGGUUCAUCCUCACCUGCGACACCAGCCGCACCCCGCCGCGCCUGUCCCUCGGCGGCGACGGCACCCUCCAGGUCACCAACAUCUCCCUCGACAGCGCCACCGUCCGCGUCAGUGGGCCGGCCAUACACAUAAGCGUGCCAAGGACUAUCAUCACGACUGCAGGCAACGGGACAUGGGGCGGCCCGGCGUGGGGUCUCAGCGACGGUGGUAGCAACAUCCUGUCGGCGGCGAGCAACGAGCUCAUCAUCACAGGGUGCAACCUCUUCGUGGGGCUGCGAGUCACGGGAGACGUCAGGGUCAUCAACAGCUGUGGCACGCUCUGCGGCACCGUCCCGCCGGUGUGAACCAGCCGCCGCGGUUACAAGAAGUGCUCCGGCAUCGGUUGUUGCCAGACACUAAUUCCCACCGCUGCCACGUCCUACGACGUGAGGUUGGUGUUUGUCUACGAUGGCCACACCAUUUCAAGGCCCACAGACCUCACCUUCUCUGUUCUCAUCGCCGAGGAAGGGUGGUUUGACGGGAAUUAUUCCGCCUCCAACUCGGCCGUGCCCGAGAGGAGCACAAAAGUUCCGGCGGUGCUGGCAUGGCGCAUGGGCGAUCAGGUCCAGCGUGCUGCGAGGACCCGACAAAACGCUUGAUGGGAACGCGACGUGCCCCAGGGAUAUAGGCAGCACCGCGUGUCACAGCCGUUAUAGCUCCUGCACAAGCAUCCAGCCCUCGGACAAACACAAUGACAGGCUACACCUGCAAAUGCUGGGAUGGCUAUCAAGGCAACCCUUGUCUGCCUGACGGAACUGUGCCAAGGUAAGCAUCUGUUUGAUUCUACUUCCUCUUGUCACAAAUAACUUGAAAUCUUAACGAAAACUUAUUUAUAUUUUUUUAGAAAAUUUUUUAGGAUGAAAGUCACAUGUAGAUCUAUGACAGAUUUCUUUACAAAAAUGGGUCAGAUUUACAAUAUUCCAGCAUAAGGAAAAAAAAUGCUCUUGCAGUAAAAUAAAAUAUUCCAGGUAGAGAAAUAAAAUUUUAUUUAAAAAUCAGGGGUAACAGAUGAAAAUAUAGUCCAUUCCCUUUUCUUAAUAAUAUAUUUUUGUUGGAUAUUGUAAAUACAUUCUCCUAGAAAAUAGCGUUCAAAGGCACUGAACAUAUUGAAGACCAUGUCAUUUCUAACACCUAAAGUAUAUAUAUGGGUGUUGUAUUAAAUAGAAUAUGAGCACAUGGGACUGAGCAAAAGCAAUUUUGAUUACAUGUGGGCCUUAAAUUAUUUAUUCACAAAGUUCUUAUGCAAUAACAAUGGAGUCUUUUAAAUUACUAGCCCACGGAACAAGGGUUGAUGGACUAGUAAUAAUUAGUUCACAGUAAAGCAUGCUUAAUAUAUACUCCCUCCAUCAUCCCAAAAAAGCAAUUCAUCCAAGGAAUUUUAGAAGAGAUUAAGAAAAAAGUAAAAUGACACUGAUUGCCCCUAGUUUUUAGCCAUAUUUGGUACUAACUGACUGUUGCAUGCCCACAUGCACAUGCAAACAUGCAAAAUUGGUAUAAUGACUUAUUUUGUGGGAUAAAUUUCGAACCACAGAAUAACUUAUUUUUUGGGAUGGAGGGAGUAGUUCAAUUAUUGUACAACAGUUGACCUAAUAAUAACGUGUUCUUCAAAGCGAUUGUUAAAUUUAAUAUUGUACCAUAUAGUGAUAUAUAGUAAUAUCAGAAUCAAGAUGUAUCAAUUGUACCAUUCCAGCACCUUCUUCCCUUCUCAGCGACAGCGACACCGCCACCGCCACCGCCACCAAAUCAUCUAUCAAUUGUACCAUUCCAGCAGGCGGCACUGACAAGAGUCAUGCCGUUGAGAUCAUAACCCAGGAGAUUGCAGAGAGUCCAGUAGGUGCGAGCAUCCGGGAAACUCUUGCCUACACAGCUGCCAGUUGCAAACAAAAUGAAGAACAAUCACAUUUGAUGAGGAAACAUGUCAGUAAUUCAGGGCCAAAAUAAAGUGCCUGUUAUUGUUAUUUGCCAGACCUCCUGCCUGUCAGUAUUGCUAAAAGAACUGAAAACAAAACAAAAUGCAAGAUAGGGUUGCACAUAACAUAUAGACGCAAGAGCAGCCCUUAACUUUUUUUUUAUUUGGUAAAAACAGAAAACCAGAUGCUCUGCAGACACCAUGUUUAAUUAACAGGUAUGACAAAACAAGUUUUACAAGCAUGCAGUACAUCAGAGCUAAACUGAAUUAGCAUGGCAACUUCCCAACUCUACAACAGAUCCCGUAACGUUGUAAAUAACAACCAAGCACUUCAAGCAACUGAAUCAGCCAGUGGCACCUACGAUCCUCGAGGGCUCAAACCCCCAGCCGCCACUUGCGUUUCUUCCCCCAUGUAGGCUUUGUUCUGGAGCAGUAGAUCAGCCCUUUGUUCCAAAAAUAGCGGUAGCAGCAGGUGACGAGGUGGUGGACGAUGCUGUGCGGGCUGGGCGGGGGGCUCUCGACAAUGUCCCCGUCGCACGCCGGGGACAAUGUGCCAUUGCUGAGGCUGCACUGCAUCAGGCGAUCUUUUUCUAUGCUGUCGCAGAGAACGAUGGACGCGUGGGCUCCCCACCUCUCCGGGGGACGCGUGGGCGAACCGACAGAUGUGUACGUGCGCGAGCACGACCGUGACCGUGAUAGCCGCGGAGACCCGGCGGAAGGACUGCACCUUGUGUUCGUCGGCGUCGAGCCGCGGCCGGUGGCCCUUGAGGCGGUCGAGCUGCGGGAUCAGGGACGUCAGCGGCGGGAGCUCGCAGACGGGUCGCGGGGGCCGCCGCCGCCAAGGACUCGAAGGCCGAGCGGGAGCCCGAUCCGAUUCUCCGGGUGAGCGGGGGCCCAUGCGCAGGCCGACUCCACGGUGGCGAGAGGUGGUGGGCCGUGCGCAGGCCAACUCCACGGCGGCGAGCGCCGGGGCAGUUCGCAUACGGAAUGGAAGGGAGUAGGAAUGGAUUGGGAAGAUACGAAAAAUAAAAGAAUGAUAAGGAGAAAGAAAAAUAAAAUAAAAAGGAGAUGAUAUCAUAAAUAAUUUUUCUCAUAUUACCCUUAUACUGUCUGAAUAUACUGCUUCAUACUACCGAUCAAUAUUGAAAAAUUUCAACCGUCCGAUAUUUACGUACAGGUUCUUUCAUACAUCAGUAUAUAGGCAAUGCAUCAGAUGCUCGUGCAGUAAUAGUCGCUAUUCCAAGGAGCAACAAACUCAUCACGUCAGCAUUAAUAUUACUUGUAAACAAAAUUAAAAUGUGAUUUAGCAAAGCCGGUGUAUGAACAAAUGGGGAAGACCUAAAUUGCAUGCAGGGAGGACAUAUUUAGACACUCAACAAUUGUCUGUGCACACAAAAAGAUGCACAACACUUUAUUAACCUGGAGCAGAGGACUCUGUGCUAGGUCGGCUGCAUUUAUGUUGUCUCUUAGAUGACGAUGGUUCAGCAAUCCGUGCAGCAAUGCUUGGCACUAUCCCAUGGAGCAGCAAAAUCUUUGCGUCAGCAAUAAUAUUUCUUAUAAACAAAAUGGCAAAUUCAUUGCAUCAGCAACAAUACUACUAACCUGGCGACGAGUAAGCUGUGGGAUGGUUCUUGCGCUUGCAGCGAGCGUUUGGCACUGAUGUCUCAGCAGGGGCUGACAUUACUCGGUCAAGUGGUGCAUUAGAAGUAACGCCAUCUGUAGAUAAAGUCAAUAUAUGUACAUAAUCAAUCGUCUGAGAUGAUGAGAACAGAAGCACAUGGAAAAAGCACACAUUUUAUGUAACGUGUUGCUGACUCAAAGGCGAGAAACCUGCUGCAUGUUGCUUGCAUUUCCAAUGUGCAAUAUGUCUCAGGAAGGGACAUUACUCCAAGCCUGAACAAUUACCAAGCACGAUGGCCCUACUGGGAAAUGUUAUUUAUAGUCAGUAAUUCUGGGUAGGAGGAAUACAUGAGAAGCACAUUUUAUCAAGUGGACCUAAGGCACAAUCACAGAGGCAAGCUGAUGUUACUCCAAGGCUGAAGAAUUACCAAGCAUGAUGACCCACCUGAAAUUACGAUUAGGAUUAGUUAUUGGGAAAUGUUGAAGUGAGUAAUUCUGGGUAGGAGGAAUAAGUGAGAAAGCACAGUCUAUCAUGGGGGGCCUAAGGUGCACUAUACAGAAACAGUCACUGACGCCUAAGAAAAACAUGCAGGGAAGAAACAUAGAAUUCCAAUAAAUGGACGGAACACUGAUACAUGCGGUUCAUCUGUAAUAAUGCAUACCAUCAACCGUCACCCAUUCUAAGGCCCCAGAUCAAUCUCAAUUCCUUAGCUGCUGUUCCAAGACUUGAGAUUAGGGGUCCCUUCAUUUGUUACAUCAUAAGAUUUCAUAGGUUGGUUACAAAUUGUCGACCACGGCCAUGCUAAACAGUUAAAUUAUGCAUGGAACUAAGUGUAGGCUGCUAUUCAGUGUCAGCUCCCCCCAUGUUUAACUGAAGCAGUUAACGUUCAUGAAUUUCCGAUAUCAUUUUCCAAUCUAAUAUGGUGUGGACUUUUGCACUUCGACUACAAGCUUAGAUAUCAUUUUUGUCAGCAAAAAAAAAACUGUGCAAUGAUUAUACUAUGGCAACAUCGUGUGACAUCAGCACACAUAGUAUAAGUGGUAAUUCAUGUCAAUGAACAGUAGAGACUAAAGCAUCAUCCUCAACCGUCGCCAAUCACUUAGCUCUAAAUUUCUAUAUGUGUUGGGAUAAUUGGUUUCCACAAUCCUCAUUACACUCAGUUAGCACUAGUUUUACUGAAUUCAGGUGUCUGCUGCAAAAUUCAUGAAGGUGUUUACAGGCAUCUUUUUCCACAUGGUGAUCAGUCGACAUAUUCUUUAUUGUUUGCUUCCCUAAUCAGUUGACAGAUAGGAAGGCACCAGGUUAAUCCAAAAUAUGUACAUGCAUCAAUCCACAGUAAUGGUCUAAUAUACGGGGAGAAGCAACGAAAGGCAUAAAGGCUGCUGAAGAAAAGUAAAGACGUCUAAAAUAAUUUCGCUGUCAAUUGCAAAUUGGGUGCGGGAGCAGCUCAUAACCGCGUAGCUCUAAUCAUGGGCAAGCUUCUGAAACAGCAGAACAAAGAUGCACUUUGUCGCAAAUGGGAGCAUGCAGUACAUAAAAAGGUCAAAAGGUGGCAGAAAGGAAGGCGGUUGCCACCGAUGCAGAGCAGGUCGCCGGUGUGCUUGCCGCAGGAAGAGACGGUUGGUGAUGCGCUGUACUAGGAUGGAGCUGGCACGGAAGAAAGGCGGCGCGGCAGCACGGGACCGUCCUUAUAUCGCGCGAUUAGGCGACCAGGAGCGUGCACUGGCACUGUUGCACUGUAGCGCGAAUCUGGGUUCAGAAACUAUUAUGUCUUAUAUGAUGAGCCGUCAGGCUAACUGAGAAGGCGAGCGGAGCGGGAGCGCGUGCGUGGCGAGCGAGACGCGGCGAGAGCGCGCGACCGUUGCGCCGUCCGCUAACAAUGGGCACGAUAGAUGACGUCGGCGGGCCCCAGCCCGGGCUGCGGCGGCAGGUGGCGGAAGUAGAGGAGGUGGAGCGUGACGUCGGCUGGUAGACGCCGGUUUAUAUACUGUUCGUCGACGAUAUGAUGUUGCUGAGGUAGACGGCGAGAGGGUGGAGUUGCAGGCGGGGAAGAGCAGCGAUGCAUUGCGUCCUUGGAGACGGUAGCACCACUCGACGCCGCUCUGCCUGUCUGCCAUGCCGCGCGCGGCUCUCGGCGGUGCAGCCAUGGAGGAGCUCGGCGUCGGCGCCGCCCAGCCAGACGCCCAAAGAUGCGGUCGAACUGGACGCGCCACGCCACUCGUGAACGGCGAGCGAGAUCGCCGACACGCGGCGAGGCAUCGUGUGGAGGCGAGCAGGCGGCCGUGUAUGUGACGGGGGGCUUGCUUGGUGUAGUUGUACGCCAAGGAGUGGGAGAGGAGCAGCUUGGAGCACGGGCCAAAGCUGCCCGGCGGCGGCCGCGGCGGCGGCCUCGGAGCUUGCUUGCAAGGGGGCGAAGUAAUGCAAUGGAGGCCGGGGCUAGGGACGUGCGUCAUGACGAGGAGGAAGAGCAGGUAGGAGGCUAGGAGCUGGCCACUCCUUUUGGAAUGCAAGCAAGUCACGUAGCGAACACCUGGGCUCAUCAAUUGAGCUAACGGGGGCCACCCCAAAAGGCCAUGGUUUGGAUUGCAAGUUUAACUUGGUACUAGUAGAUGCAUAGAAUGGGGGCUCUAACGUUUACUAAUUAAUGCAGGCAGCUGGUGCCGGAAAGAUUGUUUCUUCUUUUUGUAGAAAUACCAACUGAAACCAAGGUUCUCUGGGUAGGAAAUGUAUCUGUUUAUAUGCAUGAAAGGUGAUUGCACUUUUAUCAGCAUGUUAUAGUUUCCUGAAUAAAUCAUCUACGGCUCUAAUUUUGUCCAUGGUAUUAUUCAGCACCAGUUCCUUCAAUGCCAAAUGGAAAAUGAAUUUGAAGCAGAUGCUAAACAUGGUUCUAUUAGAUUAAAUUGUCAAGAGAUAAUGUCCAAAGAAAGGCUUAAUCUAUUUUUAUAAGCAGAAACAUAUGGCAUUGUACAAAUAGAAAAAAUAUUCAUUCCUAUCUAUACUAUAGGAAUAUACAAUUUAUUUAUUUUUUGACAGAAGGAAUAUACAAUUUAGGUAGAGGCAGAAAAGGUAGAAAGAGAAGAAGUAUAGCAUUUAGCCAACUCUUGCGAUAAUAAUCUAUGCUUGCAAGGCAACGAAGUUAAAAAAAAAAAGCAUGUUGUACUAAACUACAAAUCUAUUCAGCACUAAGGAACUAUCAGGUCACCUUAGAUAACAUGUUAUUAAUAACGCAGAUCCUCUGUUCUGGCAAAUACAGGUUGCGCUGGUGAGGGUUCAGAGACGGAUCUGAACAAAUUAAUUUGUGGACGAUUUCAUGAGAAAAGUAGUCGAAUAGAAAAAGAAUAUCAUUACAACUUAUGGAACUAACAUAACACUGUAACUAUCUAGCAUGAAGAGCGGUAGAGCUCAAAAUUUAUUGACGAAUGCUUAUUCUAGCAAUCUAACGCUGAAAUUGGAGAGGGGCUGUGCAAUUAGGGAAAAAGAUUACUAAAUAUAAAUCAGAUCAGAUCCGGGGGCGCUCACCUACCAUCGCUGUCUUCAGUGCCAUCCAUCUCAUCUUGCUGCCAGUAGAGCCAUGAAGGUUGGGGUCUGUGUCACCUCACUAGUGUUGGUCAAAUCGAGAACAGCAGGCAAUGAGAGAGUUCUGAGCGAGGAACGGCGCUAGCGACGAGAGGGGAGGCGCGAGAGUGCGGCGGCAACCUGUCGGAGUCGGCGCAGACAGGGAACGACCGAACGGCACGGCGGAAUAGCUCCGCGCUCGCCUGGGGUUUUCAGUCUUCUUCCGCGAGAAGAAGGAUGGCCGAAAUGUUGGCGAGACACUGAUGACGCACACGACGGCCAAGCCCAGCAACACAAUCAUCUGAUGGGUCAAGAAAGGUUGCAACGCUAGAGUAGGCUGAAGAUGGUUAAAAAAUAUAGACCCACAACAGGAGACGUGUCGGCAAUUGAUAUGGUUAAAACGCAGAGUCACUCCUGUCGCUCCUUUUUCUUCGGGCAUAAGAGGUAACUUAUAUUCCAUACCUAUAUUAUAGGUAUAUAUGCGUUGUGCUUAUCAUGGUACUGUGAAGCAGCUGGUCGUCCGCAGGAGCUUGCAGAUGUCGUAACCACAAGGAGACACAUCAGCCUCAGGAAAAUGACAAGCAACAAUGCUACGACGCGCAGGGACGUAGUAGUAGAUGAGAGCAAGUUGGUGCUGAAAUUGUGUCGAGUUUCAAUGCGACUCGAAACGUGAGUGUUACUGCUGUAUCAACCAAGAACCGGAGCGGUACUGUUACGACUCCUGGAAUGAGUGUAAAGCCGCGUUUUCCAAUAACAGAUGCGGAUGAAAUCUCUUCUUGAUUGGCGGCUCAAGGGAACCCCACUCACCACACUGGUUGCCUUGUUAGAUCCACCGUACCCUUGGUUGUUUCGAUUGCAUGAUUAAUUAAUGCACAUGGUCAAAAAUAAAUACUCCCUGCGUAUCAAAAUAUUUAUUGCACUUAAUUUUUUCUUACGACUUUGACCAUUCAUCUUAUUCAAAAAUUUAUAGCAAACAUAAAAAAAGUUAAAUCAUGUUUAAAUUACCUAUAAUAGUAAAGCAUAUCACAAGCAAAGUAGAUGGUAUUUAUAUAAUUUUUUAAAUAAGAUGAACGGUUAAGGUUAUAAAAAUAAGUUAAUAGCAACAAAAUAUUUUGAUACGGAGGAAGUACUAAGCUCCAUUUUCGUGUUAGUACUUGGCUGUGACCGGCGAUAACAUUCACACACCGGUCAUUUCUUGAAAAAAACACCCACCACGAGAGGCCAGCUGGAACAUGACUUGGUUACGUUGUUGCAUUUUAAUACCUACCUGGAUUCUCGUAUGUCAUAGACCCUAGCCUACCCUCUACGGCGAAGCUUCGCCGUGGUGGUGGUGCAAAGGCAUUACCGACUAGUUGGUGGAAGAAUGCUGACAGGAAGGUUUAGAGGCGGCGACAAGCAAACAUUAGUAGAUUAAUGGAGGGAAAGGUUAGGCGACCGCGUGGACGGACGGUGGAGGCGAGCAAGGUUAGAGGUGGACGGGAAAUAAACUUAGCAGAGAAAAAAGUCUGUUUGGUCAAAUAUGCACAAGCAUAACAGGUAAACCAACCCACAUAACCUCUUUCACUAUCUUCAAAAUACUUGUUCUUCUACAUCUUCAAAGUAAUUUUGAAAACUUCAAGCUGGCUACUUUGACCUACUUUCCCUCUCUCUCCCCCCACUGUUAAUUCCAUUAAAUAGUACUACCUGGGAGGCAGUGAGUGAUUUUGACAUCAUAACUAGUAUUCAUUUUAUAGAGAAUUAACUAAGGAUAGGAUGAUCAUUUUGUAGAGAAUUAGCUGACGAUAGGAUGGUUAUGAUCUGGAGGAGUAGUUCUCAUGCCGGCUGAACAUUAUGAAUGGGAAUAUUGGAGAGAUCCCUGCCUUUAUCUGUGCGGUUUGUGCUGUGUGGAUGCAUCGCUGGCACAGUUGCACUUUGUCAUAGCAGCAGUCAUCCAUUGCAAGCUCGACCACACCACCACUAUUGAUUUGAUAACAGCAACAUCUAUUGCCAACUCCAGGUCUUAAACAGAUUAAAAAUCGCACGUACAUAAGUAGUUGUUCUCACACAGCCCAACUCCAUUCCAGGGCGCGCGCACAGGCGCACACAUUAUGCAUGAUACUACUAGCAGUGUCUGCCUCCCUCUCUUUCUCCCUUAACCGCUAAACAAGCAACACAAACCAAAGCUCAAACGUACCUUAAUUAAGCAACAACACUUAGUGCCUGCGAGUCGUCGAUCGCGUCCUAUUAAUUCCAUGAUCCAUCGUCCAUCGAUCACCGCUUAUCACGACUAGGCGGCCAUGCGCGCCGGGUAGCUGUCGAUGCAGUCGAGCCACGGGCUGCGCGCCGGGCGGCGCACGCGACGAACGGCGCGCCACACGGCGCUGUUGCACUUGAACCCCGACCCGAAUGCGAGCUGCCACACGCGGUCGCCCCGGCGGACCCGGCCCUUGGCCUCCAGGUACGCCAGCUCGUACCAGAUGCUGCUGCUGGAGGUGUUGCCGAAGCGGUGCAGCGCGGCGCGGGAGGCCUCCAGGUCGGCGUCGCGCAGCCCCAGGUUGCUCCGCAGGUGCUCCAGCACGUCGCGGCUCGCCGCGUGCAUGCAGAAGUGCUCGAACGCGCGCUUGAAGUCCGGGAUGUAGGGCGCCGCCGCGGCGGAGGCCUCCUCCCCCGGCGGCGGGGUGGAGGCCUUGGACGGGAACAGGUGGCGGAACAGCACCCCCGCGAAGAAGAGCAGCUGCUCCGAGAAGGGCAGCACCAGCGGCCCCAGCGUGGUGAUGUUGGUCUUGAGCGCGUGCCCGCCCACCUCCAGCAGGUCGCGGCUGAUGGACAGGCCCUUGAUCCGCUGCUCGUCCUCCUCCUGGUACACGGACCGGAAGGCGCGGUCGUCGGCGCCCUUGUGCGUGCGCACCACGUGCUCCAGCUGGUACUUGGCGCGGUGGAAGUCGCGCCGCCGGUUCGACAGCAGCACGGCCGCGCACCCCGCGCGGAAGAAGGCGUUCGGGAUCAGCAUCGACCGCCGCUUCCCGGGGUACCACGUGAAGGAGACGGCCUCCGUGCUCACCACCACGGCCAGCCCGGCGCCGCUGGCCUGCAGCAUGUCGCGGGCCAGGUCGACGGCGAUGACGCCCGCGCUGCAGCCCAUGCCCCCCAGGUUGUAGCUCAGGAUGUUGCCCCGCAUCUUGUAGUGGUUGACGAUCAUGGCCGACAGCGACGGGGUCGGGUUGAAGAGGCUGCAGUUCACCACCAGCACGCCCACGUCCUUGGGGCGGACGCGGCACUUGUCGAAGAGCUCGUCCAGCGCCGCGAACAUGGCCGUGGAGGCCUCCGCGCGGCCCUCCUUCAUGGUGGCGCAGUUGGCGUUGGGCUCGAAAACGCAGCGCGGCAUGUAGGACUCGUCGCCGAUGCCGGACUUGGCCAGCAGGCGCGACUGGAACGCCAGGCUCUCCUCGUCGAACUUGCCAGACUUGCGCGCCAGGUCGAUGAACUCCGCCUUGGACACCUGCGUGCGUACGUGUUCAUUAGUCUUCAAGCAUCACAUUACUAGUCACUGCAUCAUCAUCAUCAAAAUAUAUUAGCAGCUGCUAAUCCAUUCUGUUGGCAGUUGAGAAACAGAGUACAGCUAGGCGUAGCCGACUGAACCAUACUUGUACGGCCCAUUGAUUAUUGGGCGUCGCCCCCAACGCCCCAACCGUACACAAAAGCGUGGCGAGUGAUGAGUGGCCGACUGGAAACCGCUCCAUCCUCUCUCUCUCUCUACCUGCCCGCCGUCUCGUCAUAACUUCCUCUCCAGCCUCCGGCGGCCAGCCCAUUAAUACCAGUGGGCCCCCAGGCCCGCCGCGCCCCUUCAUGCAUGCUCAUUACACGUUGAUGGUGGCUGAUUGUAAAUGUUGAUGGAGGAUUAGAUUCAGAAGAAGAGGGCAGCGUCUGUAGCCAUGUUACGUGCGUUCAUGAAUGCUGCUGUCUGAAGUUUCUUGCGGCAUUUAUGGGCCUGCGAUUGGUGGCAGCUGGCCGAGUACUGUGACCGUAUUAAAGGACCGGCCCAGCUACGGUACUUGCAAAAGCGUGUAAAUCGUACGCGCACCGAUCUUAAAGCACAUGGGUGUGUCGUGUACCGUAGCUGGUACACUACUACUCCUUGUUAGCUAUAAUCGGCCUUGCUAACCGUCCUCCUUUCCAAGUACGUUUAUCCCUUUUAUCCAACGGACCACGUUAGCGCAAAGUUCUUGAUCGAUUUAUCACAUACGAAUUCCACAGUUUGAGUUUUUUUUUUUCGUGUACAAAAGAUGCGUGCGCUAAUCUUACAGGAGCAGACCCAUGCCAUGAAAUGACCAAGUACCAGACGAUGCACUAGGGAUACAAAUGCAACAAUAACCUAAAUAAUCAGAUUAUUUUUUUUUGGCUGCAGUAGUUCAUGAAUCUCACUUUGUAACCUACAAGUAUGUAUAUCCUUUUGAGUCUAAAGUUCCACAUGACAUGAUUUUUCCAUGCAUCAUCAUCUCUUCUCUUCCCGGUUAGUAUUAUAUAUAUCAACUAUACUUAGCCUCAAACAACACACCUAACUCGAGACAUUACCCUGAUCCAUUUUUUCUUAGUAGAUCAAACCAGAUCCGAUGUGGUUUGCAUGUCUUUCUUGUGUAUGUGUGUGUAACAUGACUAUGAAAUGUGUACUGCAUGCAAAUUAAACAGGCAAGAAAUUAAGACGAAUCAAGUCAAAGAAGAAACAGCUUCAGGCUUGAAAAGCAUGCAUGUUUUUUUAGUAC